rnacentral:lncRNA from 1 species
UUUUUUUUUUUUUUUUGUUGACAAAGGAAAGCCGCUAUCUGAAAGUGCGCACUGGGUAAAUUUUUGUUGACAGGGAACCCAAUUGGUAGGAAGACAUGACAUCAAUUCUAUCAUUUCGGCCAAUUCAAUUAAAUAUGUUGAUGUUUUGGAUUUUUUUUUUUUUUUUGCAGAUAUUUCAACUGCAACAUAUUGGUUAAUAACGUUAAUUAAAUCCAGAUUGUAAUCCAAUAAAUUUCAGAGUGUAACAGAAACAAGUAGCUGUAGUUCUUUAUCUAGUAAUUGAAGUUAAAUUAAAAAGUUUUGAAUUCAUCAACUAGAAAGAAAAACUGAAAUUGCAGUAAUCUGCCUCCCAUUCCCCUAGUCGCAUAUGCAUAAUCCGACUCUACCAUUUAGAUAUUCUGAGCUGCAGUUUAUUUUGCCAAAUCAUCCAAAAAUGCGAGGGGCUGUUUUAUUCCCCCAGCAAGCGCCUUCCUUUCGCUGCAUCGGUCGAAGUCGAACGCUCUUAUGUAUAGUCAUGUUCCAUAAAACGACUGCUCUGUUCCGAGUCUAAUCUGUAGAACUCGUGACGCGCGAAUCUUACGGCCGAAAACAUGUGACUUCCGACAAAUUAAAGGCUUAGGAGACAAAAAGAUACAGACAGAUCUUAUUAUGCAUGCAGGAUACCCCCCGCACAGAUAUUUUUGCUGCAAAACAAAUAGUUACAAACAAAAAUGGAUUUUUUUUUACCGCAUACGUGUCCCCGACUCUGCUGGAUAAGACAGUAAGACGCCACUACUGCUGUCGUUUUAUUUGUCACAAAAUCAAAACGCUUCUCCUUUUAGUCUGUUGCUUCUACAGUUCUACUCCGUAUAUUCUUACGAUGCUGUCACAAGCACGUUGGUCGUGUUCAAGAACUCUAGCAUACAAGUUAAAAGUUGCUGGGAAGCUUUGUAAAGUCAUGUCUAUACGAGUGUUUCAAAAUUGAUCCCAAUUUUUUGUUUUUAGUGUUAGAAGUAUGGCAAGGAUUUUUUUUUUUAUUUUAAUAAAAAGGAUACAUCAUUAACAAAUUGUUCAGCACUAUUUGGUUUACAUUACUAUCAUAAUGGUAGAUUAAAUAUGCAUUAAAAAAAUUGCAAAUUUGCAAUUUAACGUAUAUAAAAGAUCUAAAAAAUUAUGAAUAAAUCUGAAAAAUAUAAUAAAUUUUAAAAGUGUUUUCUAAUAGAUAAAUCCUUUUUGCGUGUGCUGCAGUCGUUAGCUCUGCUAAUCAACGGUUUUAAAUUCCAAUAAUAGUGAUGAAAUUUAUCGAAGUAUAUCCAAGAUCCAAAAAAUUUUCAAAUCUGACAAUUAGUUCUAAAAUAAAUUCAGAUCUAACAACAAAAUAUAUAAAUCUCUGCAGGAAUCUAACAGAAUUAAAAUUCUCGCUGUGGAUUAUUAGGGAAAAUAGAAAACUAUCACUGAGAAAACUUAUGAGAUAGUUUAUUAGAAAAAUAAAAUAAAACGGAAUUCAUGGAGUCCUAAGAGAAGGCUUAUGAAAAUAGGAGAAUAAGUAAAGAAAAUUUUGAGAAGGUGAGAGGAGAUGUUUUAUAUUAAGUGUUGAAAUCUGGAAGUAAUUGAUAAUUCCAGAAAAUUAGUUGACAUGCUUAAUAAGAUAUACUUAAUUUCCUGAAACUACUCUUUGUGACACCAGUAGCAUGCUGCGACGGGUUUGUUACUACUUACUACUACUAUUAUAUGUUUUCUCAACUAAUUCUUCGCAUUAUUUUUUUCUUACGAAACCUUUUAAGAAACUUUGAAAAGAAUACACUACUCCAAUGUGAUGUAGUAUUAUUAUUGUUUGUUAACUCUAAUGUUCUAUCUCUUCCUCGCUCGGUCAUGCUCCAAAUAAAUUCUAGAAAAAAGAUAUUUCUGCAACUUACUUAUCCUAAACGCAUGCACCUCUCCAUGGAUUUUUUUUCCCCCUGUUUUAGAGCAAUGAAUUAAAAGUUGUCUCGAUCAUAAUUAUAUAUAACAAAUAGGAGAAAGAACAGCAUACGGCUUUGUUUUGAAUAGAUACUCCAGAACACGGCAAAGGAGUUCCCGGUUAAUAUAAUCAAUAUACUUUUAUCGCGUGAAGAAUAACGUGGCAUGGCUGGAAGGAGUCCACAGUGCUUUUGGCAGUCACGAGGAUUAAGGAUCAGAUCUCAAUUAUUGUGCCAUUAAUUUGGUCAUUACCCUAACGAGACAAGUUGACUACACAUUAGCUCUCUGAACUCAAAAUUCAGCUUUGCCUAAAUCAAACUAAUCAACAACAUUAAAACAAAAAGAGUAGAUUUUCUUUUAUGAUUAGAAAUGAGAAUUAUUAUUUUAUAUACCGGCAAUAUAUACAUUAUCAUAAUUGAAUACAUAAUAACUAAUAUGAAAAUUUAAAAUUUACAAAUAUGUCAUACACAAUAUGUAUCUAACCGUAUAAAAUGUUAACUCUAAAAAUAAACUAUUAAUUCAUAAAACUGUACCCGCCAACUGUCAAAAUAAUCUAAAAUAUCUUGCUUUUCCAACAAUCCAUUGGAAUUUUUCGUCCCAUUUCUUUGUCUCUUGUUACAUAAUCACCCAUAAUGCCGUAAGAUUGUAGUAAAGGCGAUCCCAAUUAUCAAAAAGCUCCAAACAAUCAUAUAGAAAACGCUGGAAGCUCUGGGAAUAGAGUUGGGGCCAGGUCAAUUCUCAAGCUACAAAUUUCUGCAUAAUUACAAGUAAUAUACUUAGACAUAAGCUUUUUUUUUUUUUUUGUAAAAUUUUUUUGAGGAUUAGCUGUUUUUGGGAGUGUUUUUGAAAAAUUUUACUGUAGCCGAGUUUUUAUAGUAUAUUUUGGGAUAUUUUUAAAAAAUAUUUUGAAAUAUUUAAGAGUAGUAGAGUUUUUAAAAUAUAUUUUGAGAUAUUUUUUGGAUAUUAAAAAAAAUUUAGACUAUUUUUUAGAGUACUUUUUAAAAUUUUUUAUAAUAUUUAAAAAACUAGUUUUUAAAAAAUUAGUGGAUCCAAACAGAGUUAUUUAGUGUGUUUGGAAAGGAGGUUAUUUGGGAUAAUUUUUUUUUAAAAAAUACUAUAGAAUUUUUUUGAUAUGAUGUAUGUGAGAUAAAAAAGUGAUUGGAAAACAUGUGUAAACCAAACACAUUCAUAUUUCCUUUCCUUUUUUUUUUAUAAAAUAUUAUAAUUUCAUUAAAAUUAGUAGAAAUUACAUCAUAAAAAAUACACAGAUAUCAAGAAACAGAUCUGAAUAAAGGAUACUUCAGAUCUAAAAAAUAAUAAAUAUUACAUUAUAAAGCUCUAAAUUUUAAAAAUAAGAUAAAUAAUUAUAAUUCUGUGGACAUCCGUGCAUAUUUUUAAUUGCUAGAUCUGCUGAUUAAUUGUAACCUUGCCUUUCUGGAUGAGGAUAAUUGUUUGGGUCGGGGGAGAUGGUUUUAAAUAUAAUUUAGAGGUCAAUAAUCAAAGGGCUGGGUCUGAAGCCUGAUUAAUAAUUGGGAGGGGGGCCAGUGGACUUAGUUUAUUCAUUUUCGUGGCACCUAAGAAUUGAAUUAUAGGAGUACUACGCAAGCGGACAACUGGGGAAACUACAAAUGGCAUUUGAAUGUUAUGAAAAUUAUCGCAGAAAGAAGUAGCUUGCGUUCAAGGAAGUGAUUGGAAAACGGUCCCACUACGCUAAUCAUUGUUGGGGGGGAGCACGUGGACGUUGAGCUUAUGUCACAGUUUCGGCGAGGAAAUGCAUUUAUUAAUUGAAUGGUUAAGUUAGACGAUUUAUAGCGGCAGAUGUCUUGGAUUUAAAUCCCUCUUUCUCGACAACUUUCAUUCCUCUCCUAUUGAAUUUUUUUUUCAAAAAAGAAAACAAGAGCUUAAUAUUAUUGUCUUCAACCGUCAGAUGACCUCACACUCUGUUGGAUCCAGGUGUAUGGAUCUGGCCGGCCUCGACACGAUUUUAACAUUUAACCAUGCUCCUUCACAAAUCCCCAAGGCCCUGACGUGGAAACAGAUCAGCCAAAACCACACAAUAACAGCAUAUUGAAAAAAAACAAUCGCAAGUAGUCUCACGGGAAGUGGGAAGCCCACUAAAUUAAAGUCCAGUAAUUACAGAACACGUGUCCCCAUUUGUUCAAAAUUUCUCCCCCCAUUUUUGAAUUUUCCACAGCUCACAAAUUCAUCCAUAAUUGCACUACUCCCAAACAGGACACGGACUUGGACUUUUGCAUCUGUCCACUUUCCAAUUGGCAAGUUGUCACUAGCAUUCUGGACUGCCGAAAUGCCGUGGAUCCGACGUGGCAAUCUGAUCCGCCGUCAACUUUAUCGACCCAUUCAACUUAUCUCCUCUUCUUCCACCGUCGGAUGCGCGUACCUGCGGCAGUUAUUUAUUUAUUUAUUUAUUUUACCCUCCCUACCCUCCUAACUCGCCCAUAUACGAAGCACAGUUUAGGGGCACCAUUGUCACAAACAAAUGGUACCUCUAUCAAUAUCAAUCUCAAGUACUGCUAAAUCUGCCACCACUAUAAAUUGGCAGCUCCUCUCUUCUUCCCUCCAAUUCACUUCACCAUUAAUAACUUCAACUUCUCUUGGCUUUGUUCAGCGACUAUCGGCCCCUUCUAGCUUUGCUGUUGCUAAGUACUACCACUAUUCAACGGUUCCUCGAAUCUUAGCAUACAAGGUAUGCACAACAUUUUAAUUCUUCAGUAUAAGUAAUUUUGUAUGCUGCAUCUUGAUGAUGUGAUUAGUGAGUGUUAGAUGCUACCCGAGAGUGAUGCACUUUUGGAUUUGAAUUUUGUUUUCAGGGAACUGAAGCAGAAUUUGGAACGAAAAGGAAAGAAGAAAUGACGAUCACGCCGGCAGUACGGAUUGCGGAAAAGAAGCUGGUGGUGAAGGACAGGACAAUACUGACGAACGUGCCGGACGAUGUGAUUGCCACGUCGGGGUCGGCGUCAGGACCGGUGGAGGGCGUGUUUUUAGGCGCUGAAUUCCAUAAGGAUAACAGCAGGCACGUGGUGUCGCUUGGGACAUUGCGUGACGUACGAUUCAUGGCCUGUUUCAGAUUUAAAUUAUGGUGGAUGGCCCAAAAGAUGGGAGAUAAAGGGCGCGAAAUUCCACUAGAGACCCAAUUUUUGAUGCUGGAAACCAAAGACGGGUCGCAUCUUGAACCCGAGAAUGGUGGAGACGAUGAUAAGAAGAUUGUUUACACGGUUUUUCUCCCGUUAGUCGAAGGACCAUUUCGAGCGGUUCUGCAGGGGAAUUCCCAGGAUGAGCUGGAAAUGUGUCUAGAGAGUGGGGAUACCGACACUGUCGGAUCAUCUUUUACGCAUUCGCUUUAUAUUAGUGCUGGCACUGAUCCUUUCGCCGCCAUCACCGAUGCCAUUAGGGCCGUUAAAUUACAUCUCAAGAGUUUCAGGCAGCGGCACGAGAAGAAGUUGCCUGGAAUUAUUGAUUACUUUGGAUGGUGCACAUGGGAUGCUUUUUACCAGGAGGUGACUCAGGAAGGAGUUGAGGCUGGCAUUGAGAGCCUUUCCGCAGGCGGGACCCCACCCAAGUUUGUCAUAAUUGAUGAUGGAUGGCAAUCUGUGGGAGGAGAUGAAGCUAAGGAGGAGAAAAGAGAUGAUGUGGAGUCUGAGAAGCAGCAGCCGCCCUUAAUGAGAUUAACUGGGAUUAAAGAAAAUUCCAAGUUUCAGAAGAAGGAUGAUCCCACCGUGGGGAUCAAGAAUAUAGUGAAUAUUGCUAAGGAGAAACACGGGUUGAAAUAUGUGUACGUGUGGCACGCGAUUACUGGAUAUUGGGGUGGGUUAAGGCCUGGAGUGAAGGAGAUGGAGGAUUAUGGGCCAAUAGUGAAGUAUCCCAGUAUCUCCAAAGGAGUCAUGGAGAACGAGCCAGGGUGGAAAACCGAUCCAAUUGCCGUGCAGGGGUUGGGUCUGGUGAAUCCCAAAAGUGUCUACAAGUUUUAUAGUGAAUUGCAUAAUUACUUGGCUUCUGCUGGGGUGGAUGGGGUAAAGGUGGAUGAGCAGUGCAUAUUGGAGACUCUUGGUGCUGGUUUGGGUGGUAGAGUUGAGCUGACCAGGCAGUAUCACCAGGCUCUUGAUGCUUCCAUUGCUAAGAAUUUUCCUGACAAUGGCUGCAUUGCUUGCAUGAGCCACAACACUGAUGCACUUUACUGGUAUGUUCCUGGCCUUUUGUUCGUACUCCGAAAUUUACUUUCAGUUUCUGGGUAGCUCUAUUAUCUGAUUUGUUAUUAUACUUAGUAAAUCGAUCGUAAGGAUUUCUUGUCAACAGAGCCCUACUUUAGCUGAUUUAGGAGAGGAAAUAAAUAUAAGACGCCUCCGAUGUAUGCGGCACUUUUAAAUUAUUGAUUCGGUUAUCAGUAUUGAGGAUUUCAGGAAACAUAACAAUCUUUUAUGCCUGGGUAAAUCACUUGGUAGGCAGAAUUAGACACAUCACAUUGAAUCAAAUAUACUCAGGAGUAGUGGGUGUUCAAAUUUGGGUGCUCUUAUCAUCUGCUCUUAUCAUCUGAUGGUGUUUGUCCUCAUGGUUCAUGAAACAGUUCCAAACAGACGGCCAUAGUGAGGGCGUCGGAUGAUUUCUUUCCGCGUGAUCCUGUAACGCAUACCAUUCAUAUUGCUGCAGUUGCGUACAACAGUGUUUUCCUCAGUGAAUUCAUGCAGCCUGAUUGGGACAUGUUCCAUUCCCUCCAUCCAGCUGCUGAGUAUCAUGGUUCUGCCAGGGCCAUCAGUGGUGGCCCUAUAUAUGUUAGGUGAGAUUUGUUAGUGUAGCCACUACUCAUCCUUUGUUUGUUAACGACACACUUUCUUUCCGCAUUGGACUAAAUCUUCAUUCUUUUACUGUCACAGUGAUGCACCAGGGAAGCACAACUUCGAUCUCCUCAAAAAGCUCAUCUUGCCUGAUGGUUCAAUUCUUCGAGCCCGCUUGCCUGCUCGGCCUACCAAGGAUUGCCUUUUCUGUGAUCCAGCCCGUGAUGGUGUUAGGUUAGUUUUUUUCAAUUUCACUGUGUCUUUAGUAGUAUUAUGUUUGUUUCUCUUGUAUUUCCACUCCAAAAUAAUUGUUAUGUUUCUUGUAAACUAAAAUGUGAUUAGAAGCUUCAAAUUCUCACUUACCUUUAUCUUGUUUCAGCCUCUUGAAGAUAUGGAAUAUGAACAAAUAUACUGGAGUUCUUGGGGUAUACAACUGUCAAGGUGCAGCAUGGAAUACUGUUGAGAGAAAGAACACGUUCCAUCAAACUAAAUCUGAAGCCAUAACGGGCUACAUUAGGGGCCGUGAUGUCCAUCUUAUAGCUGAAGUUGCCAUGGAUCCUGAAUGGACUGGAGAUUGUGCCAUCUACGGUCAUUGGAGCGGUGAACUUCUUACUUUGCCAUAUAAUGCAGCAUUGCCUGUCUCUCUCAAUGUCCUCCAGCAUGAAAUAUUUACAGUUACACCAAUCAAGGUCUUUGCUCCUGGAUUUAGCUUUGCGCCUAUUGGUCUCAUUGACAUGUUCAACGCUGGUGGAGCCAUCGAGGGAAUUAAAUAUGAUAUCAAGGAUGGAGCUCAGUUAUCUGAAGUGGAAAAAGGAUAUCAAGGGGAAGGUAACGCCUUUGCAGGAGAGGGAGUUGAGAACUUGAGCAUUAGAGUGGUUGCUGUUGUCCUAGUGGAAGUGAAGGGAUGUGGCAGAUUCGGUGCUUACUCAUCUACUAAGCCAAGAAAGUGCACUGUAGGAUCAAGUAUGAUUGAUUUUGCCUAUGAUUCAUCCUCUGGAUUGGUCACCUUUAACUUGGAUGAUAUGCCUUCUGAGGAUCAAAAAGUCCACAAUGUAGAGGUGGAAUUAUAGAUGCACUGCUCUUGGUGAGACCUGAGCAUGAUGAUGCGCGAGCUUAAGGUGCUAUUGCUAUUAGUGGCAUGCGGAUGAAAAUGUACCAUGAUACAGUAUCUGAAAAAGGCUCGCGGGAUCCAACCUAAUAGCCAGAGGGGAGGUCAAGCUCAGAUUAAUCAUCUGUUGUCAUGAAUACUGUGCUAUUUUUUGCUGCAAUUUCUUCCACUUGCAUAAAGUUGCAGCCCCUGGCUCUUGUUUAAACUUAGAUCGAUGUCAAUUCAAACGAUGCUGAAUAUAUCGUUCUCUUUGGUUUCUAAUAGUAUAAAAUGAUCUCACGUUACUCCAAUGUGAUGCUAACCAUGAGAACGGAGACAGGGCUACAUUUUUCCGUAGCUGCAAAAGACUCUGUACUUUGAGCGCGAAAAACUAGAAUUCUUAGCAAAAUGAUGUCCCGUCCCCUUGAAAAGUUUAGAAGCUGUCCAAAUUCAGUAAAAACAGUAAUUGUUAAGAUCCACUUAAAAGAUUAGAGUAAACGAGCCAAGCUGUUCGUUUUUUAUUGACGCAAAAUUAGCGUUCCACAUUGAGAAGUCAACAUACGAGACCAAACAGAUGAACCUUAACAGAUGCCUGCUUUAUUGACAACCCCAGUAAAACUUCCUCAGCAGUUGCAAAAUUGGAACCUUCUUUUGCUCUCAUCCUCAACUUCAUUCAUAAUGGAACCUAAAGCAGUGCAAACUAAUUUCAAAAGAUACCAUCCACCAGAAGAAAAGAGAAGACGGGGAUUAGAGCAGCAGUACUUCAAAAAUCUCAGCAAGGCAUAAUAUAAUUUCUUGGACUAGGAAAAGGGAACUACCGUAUGUUGUAUGUACAAAAUAGAAACCGCAUAUUAUACUUCUCUGAAAUGUAUACUUCACAAUUAUGAAUAGAAAAAAGGUGUACUUUACUUCCCUUCCUCCCCUCCCAAUUGUUUUGACAUUAUUAUACUUCUCUGAAAUGUAUACUUCACAAUUAUGAAUAGAAAAAAGGUGUACUUUACUUCCCUUCCUCCCCUCCCAAUUGUUUUGACAUUUGAAGAGGCAAGACUAGAUCAAGAGCUCAAGCGCUAUGAUGAUAUUGACAUCCUCAACCUUUCACAAGGGUUCAUCAAUUGUCGACAAGGUUCUAUUCCUGAAUCAAGAAAACAUCCCUUUGAAUAAUGGGGAUAAGCAUCAUAUGCUGCUCCUCAAUCCAUGCGACUCGUCAUUCGUCGAAGUUUGCCUUGUCAUUAGAAUACCAAAACUGCCCUACAACCUCAGUCUGUGCUUUUGAAGUUUUUGUCAUCCUGUUAUUUAUCAUCUUUGCCUUCAUCUUCAAAUUCAGGUAGACAUAGAAGCUCUGCUUCCAAUUCAUUGCCAAAGUUCUCAUCAUCAUAACCAUCAUCCUGCUCUUUAAUUUUCCCAAAGUCUUGCUCAGGUAUAAAGUUGUCCAGUUCGUUUCCUGCAAAGUUGUCAUCACAUCUUUGCCGUUUAGAAUGCCUAUUUGUUUCCUGUUCUCCAGGCGGCAGGCUCCCAAGUAAAUAAGACUUUUCUGUGGAACCAGUGAGCCGUGCGAGCUGGUUAGAUGUAAUGGAUAGAGGGCCCAUGCCUGUUUGUUGAUAGAACAACCCUUUCUCAUUGUUCCAGUCUUCUGCAGUCUUCUCCACUACAUCCCCAAUCAAUUGCUUAUUUUCCAUAUUGUGCUCAAUGCUGUGGACAUCUAUAACCUCACCAGCCUCUGCGACAGGAAUUUUGAAAGGAUAAGAGUCAACUGAAACAUAAAACCAAUAGAAAGCAAUGAAAGGAAACAAAGUGACUCAUGACAGCAGCAAGAACAAAAUACGCCUUCGACGACCCCAGGCCCAACCCCAAGACAAAGAGAGAAGAUAUAAGAGGGAAAUAGAAAAAUGAAAAAUGGACCCAUGACUAAAAUUUGUAAUGAGAAAGGUUAAUAAGUUAAAAAGCACAAGAAAAAGUGAGAAAUGAGAGAGAAUAAAGAAAUCUGUGAGCUAGCUGAAAAUUCAACGUGAAAUCUGUCACUUGGCAAAAAGAGCUGAAUUUGCAGUUUGAAACCUAUGUCCUCUUUGUGUAGUGUAUUAGAGAAAAUAUCAACUUUGAUUAAUCACAACUAGAUGAAAGCUUAGGAACAUAAAGGUUAACUUUCUUGAUUGUUCUAGAGGAAAAAAAAAAGUGGAAUUCAGUCCCGUGCUUCUUCCCACUGUAUCCUCAGAUUUGCAAAUACAGCUAAGACUUGAUAUUCUAAGCAAAUACUUCUUCCUUAUGUUAAACAUUUUCUUAUUUCCUUGUAAAAUUAUGUGGAACAAGUAUGGUUCUUACAAACAAAAUUUAUCAUUGCUUUUGCACUAGUGUACACAGAUGACAAGCAUCAACAGGUCAUGGAAAUGGACUCAUCCACACCACUACAUACAAAAUGUUAGGUAGAAUGAUCUAAAAACGUACAAAUUGAUGAAGAUACCUUUGAUAAUUAGUUCCUUAGCAGCUGCAUAUUCUGAUGAUUUUCUUUUGAGCAAAUCAACAUCAAGCUCCAUUCCCUGGAACACAUGAAAUGUUGUAGAAAACACAGCAAUGAGGCAAAAUCAUAGUAAAAUGGGAUAGAGCAAAAUUUUAAGAAAAUAAACCUAAAAACAUUACACAUUGUUGUAACAGAGAUUUGGAACCGUUUAUGACUACAAAAACCAAAAGCAGUCCACAGUUACAAUCAUAUAAUUUACACACCCAACCCCAAAAGAGUGAGUGUUCUUCUCAGUAUUGUUGCAUUUUCAUAAAAAUUACAAACUAAUAAACGAACAAACAGUUCUAUUGAUUUGAUACCAAAUAUGCCUGAAGUAGCCAACACCUCGAUUAUAUUACCAUUCUGUGCAUAUCCAAACCAAUAAAAUUCUCUAUAUCAAUUUCAUUAGAGGGCCUUUGUCUAAAGAUAUCUAACAACAGGUCAUUGAACUUACCAAGUCCAUGUGGAUGAAGUCUUCAAUCCGCGUAUUAGCAAAUAACCUGUCGAACCACAAAUGUUAGUAAGGCUGUCCAAAAAAAGGUCAAAUAAGGAGACUGAGAUACUAAGUAAUCUCUAACAAAACAAGAGGAAAAAAGCAAAACAGAUUAGCAAUAUACUUCUUGUAUGCUACUUGAACACGUGCAUUCUGAAUGUCUGAGACUUCAUUUACCAUCUCUGUUGCAGAGCCAUCAGUUAUAUCCACAAAUCCAAAAAGGAACAUAUUCCUCUGUAGCAUAUGUUUUACUAAAGCAGAAACCACUUUUAUGUCCUUUUCUUUAGCACAGACAAUGAUGUUCCUAAGCUCCUUCAAUUCACCUGUUCAAAGGAAAAGUAAGCAUAGUUAGAAACAUGUGAUUGUACUGUAAUUUGUUUUGGAGCACUCCUAACUUCCAUUCCGGCCAAAAAACUGAUGAGCUUGUCCCUUUUCAGUAUAGCAAUACCAGGAGAAAAUUGCAGUCUGAAAGCAACUUUUACCUUACGAACAACUUGAAAAGAGUUACCGUCUUAAUACUUAAACACAGUUUUCAAGAAAAGAAGUCUAGAAAGUUUCAUAUAAUCUUGUUUUUCAUUUCGGAAGCCAUGAAGCUUUAAAAGGAAAACAAGAUUUUAAGGCUCUAGAAGUCAAAAUCCCAAACAUCUGCAGCAGAAAGAUGCUAAUAGAGAUGCACAUACAUGGAAAUUACUGAUAGUGCUUCUAAAGCAUGGUAGAUAUAGGACAGAACAUUGACAAUUGCAAUAAAUUGAUCUAAGAAAAUCAAUCAAGUAUGAUAUAUUUGAUGAAGUUCAUUUGUCACCAAGAGAAUUGCAGACAUACGUAGACAUAAAUAAAUCUUGAAAGGAGGCUUGAAUGGUUGAGUCUCAAAUAAGCAGUAAAGGCAAUAAAGCCCACCCAGUCUGUGUGAAAGGGAAUUUCCAGACACCAUGUAUCCUGCAUAAAAUAAAAAACAAGAGAGAUAAGUCCAAGAUGACAAAAUUUGCCCUUGUUUCCAAUUGAAGAAGAAAAAGUGCAUGAUUCAUGUAUUGGGAUCCAGAAGUUGCAUGUAUUAAUAUCUGAAAAGUUUCACAUCAGCCACUUGCUUAGUCAGUGGUUUUGCAGUUUGGCUCAGGGGAACAAAUAAGAUUUUCAUGACAUUGAGGUUGGCAAGUUUAAGCACCCUGAACAAGGAGCCAAGAGGGAUUUUUUAUUUUUUUUUAAGGGGGAAGAAGGGGGAGUGCUAUUUAUAGAACUGACAGAAGUAUCAAUGUAUAAAAGCUUUGGGAAUUCCAUGUCUACGAGGCUUAGAUACAUGUUUCUCUGCUUAUUGAAAGUGAUCAUGUCUAGCACAAACAUCAUAUAUAUAAAUGCAAUUUCAUUUAAUCAUCAUGAAAUACAAGCAUGAUAAUGAUAGACAUAACUCAAAAAUUAAUUAUUGGCUAUUCCAACCACCAACCAGUAUUUGAAGAAAAAAAAUAGAAAAAGGAAAAAGAUUCUGGGCCAAGCUUAAUUUACUGAAUGCCAGCCUAUUGCGAUCAGUCAUGUUCAAGCAGCCUCUUCACCCCAUGCCGGAAAAACAUACAUACAUUUAUCUGAAUCAAUAAUAAACGAGAGGGCUAGUUCAAGGCACAGGCAGAAGAGCAGGUCAAGGAGUAUAUAUACCAAUGGAGUGGGCGAAGAGCGACUGCGUAAAGCAAGCCUGGUUUGUCGAAGGACUGGCCUCAAAGAUGAAAGAGAACUUUCUUGAACGCCAAAUUGCCUUCAAUUCUGCAAAUUCAGUUGAUCCACCCUAUGCAAACAUUAGGACAAACCGACCCCCAUUAUGAAAAUGAAAGAGACAAACUUUUUUAAAAAACCAAAUAUUACUGCUUAAAAACAUAAUUAACACCAGUUGAAUAAUGGAAGAAGUAACUUCUUGACUGAGCAAGAUUUUUACCUGAGCAAAUUCACUGAUAAGCUCAUCAAUGUCUAGCUUGAAUGGCUUCAGGUCCGUCAUCAUCAAUGCUCAACCAUCUAACUCACUCCUAACAAUUAGUCUCUCCACAAAUAAUCAAUCAUCCCAUCACUUGAGGGCAGCCCCCCAACCCCUAAAAAAGAAAGGAAAAAAAAUCACGUAACACAUGUAUAUAUACUUAUUAAAAACCAACAAAGAUGAGUUGGGAGAAAGGAGGAGAAUAAACUGAAGGGUUGGAGAGAGUCCUCAAGUUUUGAAGUCGAAUAAUCGGCACGGUGAUGAAAGAGGAGGAGGGGGAGGCUUAAAAAUAAAAAAUAAAAAAUAAAAACCGUAAUGCUGGCGGAUAGCCGUCGAAUAUUCCAGCUAGUUUGAGAAGUGGGCUGGGAUGGACUGCAGCCCAACACCAAGUCUUAAGCUUUUUCUUUUGGGCCGCUGGAAGCAAUCCAUUUUUAAAACAAUUAACCCAACAGCUUAUCCCUCAUCAUCUAAUUAUCCAAGAAUUGUACAAACGCCUUCUUAUUAUUAUUAACAUAUGUAUAGAAGGGUGAAUGCCAAGCCUCAAGAGUGUGUACUAUUGGUGAUGUGGCCAAACAUGAUUGGGUGGAGAGUGUUCGUCCAAUUUCAUCUGCUCUUCUCCAAUUAUACGUUGCUUUUUUCCUCCUCCUGUUGUAUUCCCGUUCGGUUCCAUUUUGGUUGUUUCACUUAUUUAGUUAUUCUUUCUUAGCAGAGGACUGGGACUAUAAGGCCUCGCUUUCAAUGAUAUAUAUAGGACUACAAUAUAAAUAUAGGACUAGAACUAAGACUGCAAGAUUAAUGUAGCCUUGAUUGAUGAUCCAAAGAAGAGAGUGCUAAGAGUAGUGGUUAUGACACACUGUGGUUGAUUGUAGCAGGUGUGAUAUGUCUUUUUGAAUGACAACGGUUAGAUGGUCUUGGAAACUUAAAAUGGCAAUUUUGCCCUGAGUAUUAUGCUGAUAUUACAAAUUCUGCAUUAGAGGCCCUGUUGCUUUGAAUGGCUUGUUUGUGUAAAAUUGUUUUUGUAAGUGCUGUCUAAUGCUGACAACGAAUGACUUUCUGCUCUUUCUUCUUUUCCGUUGUUGUCCAGACUACUAAAAAAAUGCCCGUACAUCCUUCGACCUCUCCCUCUCAUCGUCAUCAUCAUCAGUUGAUCGUUGCCUUUUGGGAGCCCUGUAUUAUGAUUAGUGCUGUUUGUUUUAAUUUCGCUUGUUGUUCUUUUCUUCCGUCAGCGAUGAGCUAAACUUCCUCCUGGUUAGAAGCUUGCUUGCAACUCUACAACUUUCGGUUAACAGUUGGUAGGCAUGGUUUACUGCAUGCUCUGAAUUUCCCGUUGCUCUUUCCCGUUUUCUUUGUUCUAAAUUCAUGUUUUAGCUUUUUUUUUUUUUUUGCCUUGCUGGCUUUUUUUGGAAUCUUCUUCUUUUUCCUCAGUUAGGAGAUCUUCUGCUGUACAUGACUGUUGAAAUAUCUUGCUCUCUUGUAGCUUUUGUUCUGUUCCUAUUCUGCUGUCAGCUCCUCCUUUUUUCCAAUUUAGGUUAGUGUCUUUUGUCGUUCUUUUCUUCGUUUGCAUUUUCCAAAAUUGUUUGCUGCUGUCUGGUAUGCUCUGCCUUAUGCCACGAUUGCUUUUCACUUGUUUAUUGCUUUUUUUCUAAAAAAACAGCAAGAGAUCCUAUGCGCCUUGGUGUUACUGUUUUAUAUUGGCUAAGGUGUUCCUGCUACCGUGUUUGGCUCAGGUAAUGUUACUUCGCUCCUCACUUUUCUCCCUUGGCUUUUUUUUGCAUGUUCUUGCGCCGUUACCUUGUUUACUUUUAGUAUCUGUUGGUGUGUUUUCUUAUGAUGGACCAUGCAGCCAUUUCCCGCUCUUGCAUGCUUCUCCCUUUGUGCCCUCCUUGGUCAUCUGUAGACUCUUUAUUUACUGGUUACUGCUGUUUGCCUUCUGUUGCCUAUUCUUCUGUUGCGUUAAACCAUGCGUACUGUUGCGUUAAACAACUUUCAUUGCCUUGUUCCUUAUUGUUAAUUUCCAUCUUGCCAUGCUCGCUUGAUACCGUCGGUUUGUUGGUUCCUUGUUUAGUAGCUGGAAUUAGAUGGAUAGAAAUGCCUUGCGCCGAAAAAAAUAUGCAGAAAUGCCGCCUGCCAAGAAAGCGGAAUUUCUGCGUUCUCUGCGAGAAGCUAGAGCUGCGAAGAAAAAACAAAGUCUUUCCUUCCCUUGUGCUCAACAGAUUCUGCCUUCCUGUGUGGAGUCUUCUAUUUGUUUGACAUAUAAUCAUGAUAAACCUUCUGAAACCCAUAAUUACAUUCGUGUCCUUUCUAAUGCACUACAAAAUGGAGAAUGCUUGGUUUCAGUCAACAGUGUUAUUACAGAUGCUCGCCACUUGCCUUGCAUUCCUUCUCCUGUGUCUAAUCCCUCCAACCAUCAUGUUUCGUCAUCUUCUAGAAAAAAAAUAGCUUCCAGUAAUGCACCAUUCCGUAACAAAUGUAUUCCUUUUUUUAGUGUUUUCUUAUUCUUCUACUUGGUUUGGGCUUUUCUCCUUCACAUCAUUCUUGCUUUUUUGCAUUCCUAUUGAUUGCUAUGUACUCUGUAUUGCUGUAGAAGAUUAACUCUCUCUUGUUUGCACACUGCUGUACUUCUGGUCAGUCAAUGUCUUCUUCCUAGGCCUUCUCAAAACGCUUGGAAGUUUGCAAGCCUUUUUUAUUGUUAAUCCAAUGGUGUCUUCUUCCUCUCGCCUUCUCCUGUCUGUAUUUUCCACAAUAGACAAUUUUGUUCCCAGAAUGUUGUCCUAUUAGUGAAAAUAAAAUUGUCCAUUACCAAAUGCUUCCAAAGGUUUGGCUUUCCUUUGGUCCAGUCCCUCUCUUAAACACUCCUUAUUGAGUCCUCUUUAUUAAAUUAUAACUUGCAAGCGAAUUGCUUCCCUCUUUACCUCCUCAACAUUUUAUACUCUGCAUUGAAUCUUCCCAUGCAAAUCUCUUUGGGCUGAACUGCUCAUCUUGUUCGCUUUUAUCAUCCACAGAAACCUCUUCUUUUCCAAGAAGAGAGUUUAAUCAGCCUCCAACAAACUGUGUUCGCACAGGAAGGAAAAGAAAUAGGAAUGAUUCCCUUGAUCUAUUGUCUAGCCAGAACCAUUGUAGUGCGACCGUCGUUAGAACAGAGAAUGCAGGUUCGGUUUUGUUUCUUGUUUAGCUGUUGCCAUCUUUGCCUUCCGUUCUUGCCUCUUUAUACAAAGCUUUAACUCGACCUACCUGUCAACCAUAUGCAAAAAAACUUACAGGAAGGAAACGCAAGCGUGGUCAGCCAAAUCUCUCUAUUGUGAACAACAUUUCUAAUGUAUCUUUGGUUUUACCUGACGCUCCUCCUUGUGGCCAUUGUGGAGCCAAAAGAUUCCAUUUGGAACCGCCUACUUUUUGCUGCUCUGGAAGAGAAAUUUCCCUUGUGGCUCCUCCUAUGCCUUAUGAUUUGAAGCGCUUAUUUAUUGGUAAUGACGAGGAAAGCUUCCAUUUCAGAAAUAAUGCCUGCACUUACAACAAUAACUUAGGCUUUACAUCAUUUGCUGCUAAAUACGAUUCUGAGCUAACAAAGAACAUGAAAGGUGUUUACACCUUCCGUGUUCAGGGUCAGGUUUAUCAUUUUCUAAAUUGCCUUCUUCAGUCAAAUGAUAGAACAUCUGGGAUUCAGCUUUACUUUUUUGACACUGAUGAAGAAUUAGCAAAGAGGAUUGUUGCCUCUGAUAAGUUGCGAGAAAGCACUUUAAGACUCCUUAUGCGCAUUCUUAGCGACAAUCCUUAUGCUAAAUUCUUCAGAAAUUUAAGGCAUAUUCCAAACAUUGACAACCUUAGCAUUGUGCUUAAUUGUUAUCCCACCCUUGAUCAGCGAGUUUAUAAUCUUCCUUCUGCCUCCCAAGUUGCGGCUAUAUGGACUGAAGAUCAAAAUGAACCAGGCCAUACGGGAGCUCAUAUUCAGGUUUAUACGCAUUCAAAUAGCAGUUGUAGAAUUAAACAUUACUAUAGCUGCUAUGAUCCAUUACAAUACCCUAUUCUUUUCCCGCGUGGUGAAUGCGGAUGGCACCCUGGGAUUAAAAGAGCCCAAAAAAGAAAGAGAAACGAUGCUUCUUGUGAGGAAGAUAUCGAUAUUCAUCCAGCUUCGAUUACUUCUGCAUUGAGCUUAAUGGACCGUGAACAAAGAGGCAAGUUGUUUCCUUGCCGCUUCUAAACAUUUUUUUUUAUCCACUAUUUUUACAUUAUAAAAAAAUCAUCAAAAUAAAUGAUUACUCGUGCUUUUUCUCUAGCUGCCAAUCGUGCAAAAAAUGAAGAGGACACGGUGUCAGCUAGAGAAUACUAUUGUUACAGAUUUCAAAUGAGGGACAGUGAUGAUUCGAUGUUGUUGCACUCACUUAGAUUGUUGCAACAGUAUGCAGUGGAUGGUUACGUUAAGAUUGAGACUUCUAGGCUUGACUUUCAUAGAAAUCGGCAAAACAACAUUCGUUCGGAGGCCCUCCAAGGAAUCCUAGACAGUAUUUGUAUAGGCCAAACCAGUGCAUUUAAAGUACCAUGAGAAACCUCAGGAUAGGCCGGAUCUUCUAGCUAGAGUCUUUCGGGCUAAAUUUGAAUUGCUUAAAUCAGAAGUUGUGAACAAGCAAAUUUUUGGUGAAGUCGCAGCAUAUGUCUAUGUGAUAGAGUUCCAAAAACGUGGCUUCCCACAUGCUCAUCUGCUAUUAAUUUUGAAGCCUGAAUACAAACUCCUAAAUCCCGAGUCAUACGAUAGAGUAGUCUCUGCUGAAAAAUCUGAUCGUUCUAAGCACCCUCAUCUAUAUUCCCUUGUUGUAAAGCACAUGAUUCAUGGUCCUUGUGGCGAUCUCGUUAGAAGUUGUCCUUGCAUGAAAGAUGGAUAUUGUAAAAAUCACUAUCCUAAGAGCUUUUGUUCCCAAACAACUCAUGCCGAGGAUAGCUAUCCGCAAUAUAGGAGAAGAGAUGAUGGUUCAAAAAUAAAAGUCCGAAGGCAUACUCUUGAUAACAGAUGGGUUGUGCCUCAUAGUCCCUAUCUGUUAGCUACAUUUGACUGUCACAUUAAUGUAGAAAUUUGCUCAACUGUUAAAUUGGUGAAGUACAUGUAUAAGUAUGUUUUCAAAGGACAUGAUUCUGUCAAUUUUUGGAUAGUUUCGCACCAUGCUCCUGAUGAUACUGAUGAAAUAAAAGAAUUUCAGCAAGGUCGAUGGAUUUCGCCCCCUGAGGCAUUUUGGCGCAUCUUUGAAUUCCGCUUAAGCGAAAUAAGUCCAGCAGUCUAUACUCUUUAGGUACAUCUUCCGGACCAGCAGUUUGUUUCGUUCGACAAAAAUUCAGACCUGCUGCAAUUAUUGAGCAAAGUUGAUUUUUCAAAGACCAUGUUAACUGAAUUUUUUUAUAUGAACAAAACAAAUGUGGUUGCACAGAAUCUUAAUUGCCUUUACAAGGAUUUUCCUCAACAUUUUGUUUGGUCUCCUAAAUAUAAGAAAUGGUCUGAAAGGAAGCGUCGAAAAGUGAUAGGUAGAAUGGUUACUGUUAGUCCAGCAGAUGGAGAAAGAUACUGCCUUAGACUUCUUCUGAAUCAUGUUCAUGGACCGACUUCCUUUGAUCAUGUUUUGACCGUUGCUAAUCAAAAGCUGAAUUCCUUUAGAGAAGCUGCUUUAACAUUAGGACUUUUGCAAUCUGAUACUUACAUAGAGGAUACGCUUCAGGAAGCUGUGACCUUUCAAAUGCCGGCAUCCUUAAUAUUGCUAUUUGCUAUUCUGCUUGUUCAUUGUUCUCCUAUUAAUCCUUGCCUGCUGUGGGAAAAAUUCCGGCAUGAGCUCUCUGCAGAUUAUCAGCGGCAAUCCUCAUUUUCUGUCCUUAAUGCUUCGGAGAUCGAGACAAGAGCUCUACAAGACAUUAACAGGUCGUUGGAACAAAUGGGGAAGCGAAUUACUGAUUACCAAUUAGUUCCACCUGGUUUUGACUCUUCUGAUCGUCAACGCUUGACAAAGAAAAUUGACAACGAAAGAGCUUUACAUGUUGCUCCAGAAGAUUUGUUAAUGUCUCUCAAGUUAAAUUACGAACAAAAACAUGCUUAUGACCUGAUUCUUGCAGCAUGUUUCUCUGGUCAGGGCAAGGCUUUUUUUAUUGAUAGGCCGGAAGGCACUGGUAAAACAUUCUUGUACCGAUCACUACUUGCUGCAUUAAGAUCGCAGGGCUAUAUUGCCAUUGCUGUUGCCACUUCUGGCAUUGCAGCGUCUAUUCUUCCUAGAGGGAGAACAGUGCACUCAAGAUUUAAGAUACCAUUGGACUUUUCAAAAAAUAAGGCUUGUCAACUCAGCAAACAAAGCAGUGUUGCCAAAUUACUUUUUGAGUGUAAACUUAUUCUUUGGGAUGAGGCAUCAAUAGCUAAACGAGAAACGAUUGAAGCAUUUGACGAUCUUCUUAGAGACAUAAUGGAUUUUGGUUUGCCUUUUGGAGGGAAGGUUGUCAUUUUUGGUGGAGAUUUUCGACAAACCUUGCCAGUCAUUGAGCGAGCGACGAAGCAAAUCCUCGUAGAAGCAAGCUUUCCUAAUUCUGUCCUCUGGUCUAAAUUACACAGGCUGAGACUCAAGCAGAAUAUGAGAGCCAUGUUAGAUCCUGCUUUCUGUCAAUUCUUACUAAGAAUAGGCGAGGGAAAAGAACUUGUAGAUGCAAAUGGCGAAAUCACUUUACCGCCUGAUAUAGUUAUUCCAUACUACAAUAAGGAAAAAUCUUUAAACAGGUUGACGACUUGCAUACAGUUAUACUUUAUCUAUCUGAUCCCUCUUUUUUCCCCUGCCUUUCAUUCAUUAUAGCUAUUUAUAAUUUUAAACAGGUUACUUGAAAGUGUUUUCCCAGAUUUGCAACUGUAUUCUAAAGAUUCUUAUAGCAUGAUAAAUAGAUGCAUCCUUGCUCCCAAAAAUAGCUCGGUUGAUGAGCUCAACGAGUUAUUAAUAAACAGAUUUCCAGGAAAUCUUCAAGUUUAUAUCAGUUCAGAUCGGACAGUUGAGCAGCGGCAUCAAGGAGCCUAUGAAGAUUUUCUCAAUUCGCAAAAUUCAAAAGGCCUUCCUCCUCACAAGCUGCUGCUAAAAGAAAGCUGUCCUAUUAUGCUAUUAAGGAAUUUAAAUCCUAAUGAAGGGUUAUGUAACGACACAAGAUUAUUGUAAACCCCGAUGCAACCAAAUACAACCAAAAUACUCAACCAGACAAGUAGUCAAGUAAAUACAAUGACAAAGAAUAUAAGCAAUUUUAAAGCACAAAAAUAGAGUAACAAUAAAGUAAAAGAAAUUCAAACCAAUCAAACUCCCAAACUUCUUCCAAACUUGGAGUUGAAUCCACCAAAUAGCUUCUUCAAUUGAUGGUAGUGCUAACCAACUUGUACAAGUGAAGGCUUACUCCUUCCUCACCCCAAACAUACUUUGGUUGAGCAAAGAAAUUUUACUACUCUCCAAGUAAACCCUCAACUAGCUACAAUUGAAAACUUACCCACUCAAUUAAGAACUACUUUAUAUAAGUGAGGCAACCUUUAUCAAGGUUUUACCACUCCAAGUAAUAGGUUCACUUUCACCAAGGUUUUACUCCUCCUAGAGAGUAACCUUCACUUGAACAACCUCACAACCCAACUUUCCCAACCCCUUAUACAACCAACAAAGAAUAUUUCUACUCAAAGAUCUCACUUGUAAGCUUGUAUUUAGUGUUGACAAAAGUCUGUGUCUUCUUGUGUUUUGGGGUAUCUAUAGAAGGUGAGAAAUGGCUCCAAAAGACUCUCCAACGGUCAAAUAUUAAAUGCUGUCGAAACUAGCCGUUGGCCUGUCGGACGUCCGAACCAUUUGCUCUGCGUCCGAACCAUGCGUCCGAACCACCUAUCGGACGUCCGAACCAUUUGUUCUGCGUCCGAACCCUGCGUCUGAUAGAAGUCAGAAUGUUCAACUUUCAUUCUUUUUGUGUCGGACGGCCGAAACAAUGAAUGAGCGUCCGAUCCAAGCGUCCGAAGAGUAUCGUCGUCUGUCGGACGUCCGAUCCUCUAUCGAGCGUCCGAUAGUCUACGUCCGAACCUUCAUAUUUCUUAACUUCUCUUUGAUUCAAAUCUUUUCGAUUCUCUUUUGGAUCAAUGACCUGUUCUAACAAAUUUUUCACAUAAAAAUAUUAGUCCAAAUCUACAUUUUGGUUUGUUAAUCAUCAAAACCAAUAACUGAUCAACCAAGGUCAACAAUCUCCCCCUUUUUUAUGAUGACAAACAAAAUGAAGAUUUCUUUGAUCAAAUAAGUUCAAAUAAAACUCCCCCUUAGAAAAUGCCAACAUACAAAGAAAUUUCAAUAAAUCCUACUCCCCCUUUUGGCAUCAAUCAAAAAGCAAACUCCCCCUUUAUUUUUCAAAUCAAGAUCAUAUUGAAUGUCAAAACUUUCAAAUGUACCUUCAACCAUUUAGCACUUUUUGGAUCAAAUCUUUAUGAUGUACCUAAGUAUGAGAAAUUUCAUUUGGUAUUUUUUCUUUAUAGGGUCCUUGGGAGUUAGUACAAUAUGAUCUAGCAAUUCACAUGAAUUUCAUACAUUUUCUCAUAUUUUUCUUUACAUAGCAAUCAUUUUACAUAUGUCCAAAUUGGCAACAAAAGUGACACAUAAUAGAAGUAUUUUGUACAUAAGUGGAUUUAAUGCAACUAAUUUUCUUACUUUUUAUCAUAACAAACUUAUUUGUGCCUUGAAAAGAUUUGCUUUCUUUUGUUUGAGAAAACUUUUGUUUUUCAUUUUGGAGAAACUCGUUCAAGUCAUUAAUUCUUUUCUUUAACAAAUUUUGUUCCUCCAACAUUUAUUCAUAAAAAAUUGUUUUCUCUUCCAACUUCCUUUUCAAAUUAUUUUUGCAAUCAAAAACACCUUUUUGAUUUUUUAAAUCAUCAUUUUCCAUUCUCAAACAUUUGUUUUCUUGAAAAAGUUUGGAGUUUUCUUCCAACAAAUCAUUUAUUUUUGUUUUCAAAUCUUUAUUUUUAGUAUAAGAUUCUCUCAAACUUUUAUGCAUUUUAAUCAUAAGAAUUUGCACAUCAUCAUCUUCAUUAUCUUAAUCACUAGAAGAGUGAUAAAAAUUUACCUCAUCUUCUCCAAAGGCCAUUGGUGCCAUUUGGGCCAACUCUUCUUUUUCUCUUUUUGAAUUGCAUUCAUCCCAUGUAAUUUUGCAAUUUCCUCUUGAACUUCUCUUGUUGAAGAUCUUCUUGAAACUUUUGAUGUGAGGAGUUAUAUCAUUGUCUACUUCCAUGUUUUCAUUACCCAUGAAGGAUGGGUUAUCCCCCACUUGAAAUGCUUUAAAAGCUAUGCCUCUCUUAUACAUUCUUGCAUUUUCUUCCUCUUGCACUUUGAAUUUCAGCUUUAAUUCAUAAGAGGUUAGUGAAUUCACAAGAGAUUCAAUGGACAUAGAAUUUAAAUCCUUUGCCUCUUCUAUAGCAUUUAUUUUGUUUUCCCAUUCUUUUGGCAAGACAUUCAAAAUAUUUCUAUUUUUCUCACCCAAAGAAUAUUCUUUUCCAAACAAUUUAAGAUCUUGAAUAAUGUCACAAAAUCUACUACACAUCUUAUCAACAUUUUCAAGAGGAUGCAUUUUGAAAAAUUCAUAUUGAGAAACAAGCAAAGAUUUCUUUUGUUCUUUAAUAUCUUGGUUACCUUCAUGAAAUUCACACAAUUUAUCCCAAAUAUCUUUAGCUGAUUUACAACCUUUAAUUCUAUUAGAUUCAUUUACAUCUAAUGCAUUGCACAAUAUAUACAUGGCCUUGGCAUUCAAAGAAAGGUAUCUCUUGUCUUUUUCAUUCAAUUCUUGUCUAGUCUUUAAUCUACUCAAAUUAGUGGUAGAGUCAACUAUUCUAGCUUCAUAAGGACCAUUUUCUACCACAUACCAUAAUUCAAUAUAAACGGAUUGUAAGAAAAUCAUCAUUCUUUGUUUCCACAUGCUAAAAUGAGAACCAUUAAACAUAGGUGGUCUAUCAAUAGAUUGCCCUUCUAAAAAAGAAACAUUUAUGGUUGCCAUGAUCUUUACUCUAAGCGGUUAAGCUUAAUCUCUAGGAGACCAAGCUCUCAUACCAAUUGUAAACCCCGAUGCAAUCAAAUACAACCAAAAUACUCAACCAGACAAGUAGUCAAGUAAAUACAAUGACAAAGAAUAUAAACAAUUUUAAAGCACAAAAAUAGAGUAACAAUAAAGUAAAAGAAAUUCAAACCAAUCAAACUCCCAAACUUCUUCCAAACUUGGAGUUGAAUCCACCAAAUAGCUUCUUCAAUUGAUGGUAGUGCUAACCAACUUGUACAAGUGAAGGCUCACUCCUUCCUCACCCCAAACAUACUUUGGUUGAGCAAAGGAAUUUUACUACUCUCCAAGUAAACCCUCAACUAGUUACAAUUGAAAGCUUACCCACUCAAUUAAGAACUACUUUAUAUAAGUGAGGCAACCUUUAUCAAGGUUUUACCACUCCAAGUGAUAGGUUCACCUUCACCAAGGUUUUACUCCUCCUAGAGAGUAACCUUCACUUAAGCAACCUCACAACCCAACUUUCCCAACCCCUUAUACAACCAACAAAAAAUAUUUCUACUCAAAGAUCUCACUUGUAAGCUUGUAUUUAGUGUUGGCAAAAGUCUGUGUCUUCUUGUGUUUUGGGGUAUCUAUAGAAGGUGAGAAAUGGCUCCAAAAGGCUCUCCAACGGUCAAAUAUUAAAUGCUGUCGAAACUAGCCGUUGGCCUGUCGGACGUCCGAACCAUUUGCUCUGCGUCCGAACCAUGCGUGCGAACCACCUAUCGGACGUCCGAACCAUUUGUUCUGCGUCCGAACCCUGCGUCUGAUAGAAGUCAGAAUGUUCAACUUUCAUUCUUUUUGUGUCGGACGGCCGAAGCAAUGAAUGAGCGUCCGAUCCAAGCGUCCGAAGAGUAUCGUCGUCUGUCGGACGUCCGAUCCUCUAUCGAGCGUCCGAUCCUCUAUGUCCGAACCUUCAUAUUUCUUAACUUCUCUUUGAUUCAAAUCUUUUCGAUUCUCUUUUGGAUCAAUGACCUGUUCUAACAAAUUUCUCACAUAAAAACAUUAGUCCAAAUCUACAUUUUGGUUUGUUAAUCAUCAAAACCAAUAACUGAUCAACCAAGGUCAACAAUUAAUAUGUAGAGAGCUAAGUUCAAAUAUUAUUUGUGCGGAGAUUGUGUUUGGCACUCAUGCACGAAAAAUAGUCUUUAUUCCAAAGAUACCUCUUCAGACAUCUGACAAUGAAAUGAAUGGAAUUCUGUUAAUAAGAACUCAAUUUUCUGUCCGUCUUUGCUUUGCGUUAACCAUUAAUAAAUCGCAAGGACAGACUCUAGAUUAUGUCGGCCUUUACUUGCGUGAACCUGUUUUCUCGCACGGACAGCUAUAUGUCGCACUCUGUAGAGCUAGAACAGCUGCUGAUCUUAAGGUUCUUCUUGUUCCUGAAACGUUUGAUGAGAAAAAGAUUGACUGCAAAACUAGAAAUAUUGUCUUUAAUGAGAUUUUUGCUUUGCUUCAGCAAUAAAGAAUCUGUCUACUUUAACUAUGCAUUAGAAUGAGGUGCAUAUACAAAUUUAUGUUUCUUCAACCAAUAUAUUGUUACACUUGCCUUAUUUAUUUGCAUUCGCUUAUCUGUGUUUUUUCCUUGCUGCAGAAUGACCAACCUACUACCUAUCCGAGACAUUGUCCCUUUCAUGAAGAAUUGGAGUUGUCUCAUCACUGUUCAGGAAAAGCAACAGAUUACUGACUCGAAGGGCACACCAACAAAAAAACAACAAUGUAUCUUUUAUGAUGCAGAGGUUAGCAGCCCUUUAUACCCACUUUUUUACAUGCAAUUGUUUAACAACAUAUUUCUAUUUCUUUGACUGAUUGUUCACCUGACAAUUGUGUGCCCCAGGGAUCAAAAGUUGAAGCAAUAAUCUUCAAUGAUGAUAUUCCUAAAAUGAGUCCACUUUUGCGUGUUUAUAAAAAGUACAAGAUCACAAACGCUGAAGUGAAGCCUAUCCCAGCAAAAUUUCAAACAGCUGACAUCACUAUCCAAUGGGUCAUCAGCACUAAAACCAUCAUUGAAGAGCUAAAUGGCGCUGAUAAUGAUAUCAUGCCUGUGAAUUUUAACUAUACAAAGUUUACUGAUUUAGUGCAUCAUAUGGAUGACAAGAAUAAAUCAGUUGGUACAUCUCUUAAGAAUUAAUAUUGCUGUGCUUGCUGCGUUAUUAGUUCCUCUUCCAUUAUGCUGGUUCUGUUUUUGCAGAUGUGAUAGGCAUUGUGAUGGCUGCACUGGGCAAGAGGACAUUAAAUAGAAGCUCAAAAGAAUCAAAUGUUCAAAAGUUUGUCCUCCUUGAUGAAGAGUAAGUAUCUUAUUUCUUAUCUUAAUCCUAGAUCUCAAUUAAGUUAUUUCCUAUUUAUUAUUACUUAUAUUGAUAAUGAUUACAGAUCACAAACUGUAUUGCUAUCUUUAUGGGAUGACUUUCUUGCUAAUGAAGGACAACAACUACUGUCUAACCUUCACAGCUAUCCUGUCAUUAUCGUGCGCAGAAUUAAAGUGAAUAAUUACAAAGGUACUUUUUCCUUUAAUGUUUUUAUGUCUUUCUUGUACACACUCUUAUAUAUACCUUCCGCAGAAUCAACAAGAUGACAUUAAUGUUUAUUCUAUAGGAGUUGCAUUGGGUACUUGGUUUGAUUUUGUCAUACUUGUUGAUCUGCCUAUAUAGGAAGCAAGGGAGCUAAAAAACUGGUAUAUUGCAUUCCAAUGGCCUAUUUUUAUCUCAUAAAACAACAACUAUAGAUGUUUUUUCCUUUUUUACAUACUUCCUGCAUUUUCCUUCCUUGUGCAGGGCGAUCAGAAAUUCUCAAAUCAUUGCAGACGUUCUUGCCAAAAGAGAUUACAUGAAGUUCAAUCCUACAAUUUCUCUGAAAACUGAUCAAAAAACUACUUUGAUCUGUAACGUUAACCCAUCACAGAAGGUGUUAAAACAAUUUCUCCCUAUUUCCCUUUACACUUCGCUGCCGCCCAACUUACAUUUUUUUCCCUUGUGCUUAUUCAUAUUGCAGACGACUUGGGUGAGAGCACGUUUCUACUUUGAGCACAUAUUCCAAAAAUAUUGGUAUAUGAGUUGCAAGAAUUGCUAUCGAGCCACGGCAGCAGAUUAUCAAGUUGAAUUUACCUGCAACUCGUGCAAGGAGAAGCAACCAGCUGUACCUAGGUGCUCAUUCAUAAGUGCUUGUUAUGUGAUUCUUUCUGCAUUUUGCAUAAUGACAAUUUUGCCAAUUACUGAUUCCCUGUAUAUUGAUUAUUUUUUCAGAUGUCGCUUUGAUGUUGAUUUAGUUGAUAACAGCGGAGCUAUACCAGCUUCCAUUUUUGGUGAACUGGCAGAGAAACUUUUAACGUUCAGCUCCCUUAAAGCAAUGCAGCAUUUUAAUGAGAUUUUAUUUUGUCCCAUAACACUUGUUCACGGGCCUCUUAUGAAUCUGCUAAUACUUUUUCCCCCUUCUUGUUCCCAGAAUGUCGAACUCCCUCUUGACCUUGUUCAUGAACAGCUGAAAUCAAAGAUUUUUCUGGUUCAUAUAAAGCCUGUGCAAGCACAACUGGCAGACGCUAGGCAACGUUAUACAGUGAUAUAUUACUAUGAAACUGGUGAUGGUUCCAAUUCAACUGAGAUAACAAACGAACCAAAGAAUGAUUUGACGUUGCUUAAUGACCAGUCUCCGGCGCUGCAACUAAUUGAUCCAGGUAAAUAAACACAUACUUUGAGUUUCUAAUCAACAAACAUGUUUUCCCUGAAAUAACUUAUAUGAAAUGCAAAAUUUACUUGCUACAGAGGAAAAUACUCUAGCUUCAAAGAUUUGCAAGCGCCUUUCUGAAAAGUUCGAUGAAAUAGAGAAACUAAACGACAGCAGCUCCCUAGAUGAAGCCACCAGCUCUGCUAAGAAAUCAAAGCUAAACUAGAUCAGAACUAUUCAUCUUCUGUCUCCAUAAGAUAGAUGCACCUUACAAGUGAUUUGCACUGCUGCCUUUUGCUAAGUUUGUUACAACGAUCGUUAUCUCUUCAUGCACACUCUUCUUUUGUCUGUACGUAUCAACAAACCAGCUUCUUUUGAUAUAUCAGAAUGCUUUCAACAUUCAGCCUUAUUUGCUAUUAACUCUAUGUAAGACAGAUUAUUGCGUAGUUACUAUGUGAUGCUUCCUUUUUUUGUUUAGAUUACACAUUCUGCUACUUAUGAUGCCAACUUAUUUACUCAUCGCUAUUAUCUACUGGGUUGCAGUGAUUCAUGUAUUAAGAAGAUCAAAAUAUAUAUAUGAUAUAUAUGUAGCAAUGUCCUUUAUAAGCUUCAGUUCAACAAACAAACCUCAACGCUUAAUACUGUCCUAUUCCAGUUCAUGUACUUAUACUCAUCAAAAAAUUUAUGGCAACCGUUAACAAUGAUAAUAGAAGUUUUGUUUUCUUUUCAUUAAAUAUAUAUACAAUCAGUUCUUUAUUCAUUCAGUACAAGAUGUCCCAAAAUUAAAUAACGCACAGUAAAACAAAAAACCUGCAACUCUCUACAAACAACCACCUUUGCUGUUUACUAUUUCCUUUUCAUUCACCCAGUUAACAGCCUUUCUGAUGUAUAUACUAAUAGCGCCAUACCAGCUUUUUCUCCUGUUAUCUUUUCUUCUUCUUCUUCUAUCCCUUUAAAAGCACAGAAUACAUUCCCUACUGCAUCAAGUUCACAGCAACCAAACAGCACCUUAAACAGAAUACGUUCUCCUCAAAUGUUGUUAUAAAGGCCAGGUACAUCUUUUCUUUUCUUAUAAAACAAAGGCAAUCAAACUAUCUGUAUAUAAAUCUUUAAUCAUAUUUUGCUUGCUUUCAUUUGCUCCAUCAAACAAUUCCACAUUUUGCCUGCUCAGUCUCGGCUAUUACUUGAUCAGAAACAAAACCACAUAAUCAUCCUCAGAUUUAGAAUGCAGAAAUGUCAUUGAGGAGGGAAUCCAUGUACCUGACUGUAAGUUUGUUGUACACUUUGGUCUACCAAAAACAGUUCACAGUUAUGUUCAGUCACGUGGAUGAGCUCGUCAAAUGGGCUCUCCAUUUAUUGUCAUGCUUGAGAGGUGAAGACAAUUUUCUCUCUCACCUCCAGAUUUCAAGAUUUUGCAAAAAAUAGCUGCUGUUGCUAACACUGAAUUGUUUUUGUCCAAUCAGUGUAGUUUGCCUCUUUUAAAUUGCAGGGGAAACAUCACACAAACGUAUGACUUGUUUAACCUCAUUAGGAGUGAAUUAUCAAUGAAGGAUAAAGUAGAAACCAGUGAUCCUGAAGCUUGUGUUAAAAAAUCUUGUCUUAUGAAGGAAAAAGAUACAUAUAUGGUGGAGGCAGCUAAAGCAUCAGUUGCUGCAGAUUCAAGUGUUACCCUAUACAGAGAUAUUGCGACAAACUCCCAGGAAACAUGAAUGUAUGCUUGAUAUUAUCAAAUCUAUACAGACGAAAAAAGUCUGUGAUUAGGGGAUGGUUUCUUGAUGUAACUUUUUCUACCUUACUUGAAUCACUAGUGAUUCUUGUUGGCAGGUACUUCACUCCAAAGCCAAUGUAUCAGUACUGACUGGUUGAAGAGUCAUAUCAAUGUCAAUUGACAUUGCCUCCAAAUGCAGCAUUUCAAACUAUGACUGGCGCUCUUUGUAGGAAUACUCUUUUGUCCAAACAGCUUGUGUGCUUGGAAUCAUGUAAAAAGCUGCAUCAGAUGGGAGCUCUCACUGAUCAUCUUCUUCCUAUCAGUGAAAAGCCUUCCCAAAGUAGUUCCCACCCAAAUUGAUUCCCUUUGUUAGAAUUUGCAGCUAGAAUUAUAAAACUUUUGUCAAUUAUUCUGUUACUUUUCUGGCUAGACAUUUUGCUGCCGUUUACCUUUUUCCAGCUUUUCAAUCUUUACAUUUCAAGGACAUGCUCAUUACCCUCCAGUUACACCAAAAAAUAACAAUAACAAUUUUACUCCAGAGUUAUCUAUUUUUACACACAUUAUUCAAUAGAUAAAACAAAUAUAAUAUCAAUUAUAACACGUACUUCUCUGCGCAUCGACACCCUAAACUACUAAACUGCUGGUCCAACAAACAACCUGUUAUAUUUCUUGUUCUGUGAUAAACAGUUGUUCCUUAGUAGUAUAAAUCUAUAGAGCCUCUUCCAUCUUCCAUUCAUUCUUUAUAUGUGCAUGCCUUUGUUUUCUUCUUAACUUAACACAUCAAACAUCAGAUUUGUCCCUCAGUUCACCAACAGGUUUUUCUUCUAAUCUCUUUUGUUAUCCAUGCAUAGCUGAAACUUACACACCUACAUUCACCAACUGCUCUCAUUCAUAUAUUUAUUACUUCUACUUCGUAAAUAGCAGAGACUUCAUGGACGAAACAUCUAUCAUUUCUGUGGAUUCCUCUCACGCCAUAAGCAACGCUCCACAAACAUAUUGCUUUCUUAUUACAUGCAAGAAUAGAGGACAGGUAAUAAUAUUUUUCUGCAAUUUAAUAGCUUUGUUAUUAUUUAUUCUUCAAUCCACGUUUAAACAUGAGCUUUCAUUUUAUCCAACAUACAGUCUUUACCUGUUGAGUUUCAAAUAUUGCUCGCACAACACGAUGACAAUACAAUCACCUUCAGACAUGCCUUGCACAGAUGGAAUAUCUCAGUCAGAAAUAACUACUUUGAAGAAGGAUGGAUAGAAUUUUAUCAGGACAACAUUAUCAAACAACAUGAUAUGUUGUUGCUCCGCCAUGGCGGAUAUCUAAUUUUUGAUAUUAUUCAUUUCUGCGAGCUCAAAAAACAAGUGUAUCUCCGAUGGACAGUUUCCCUGCCAGAUCUUUUCCAUCAGCAAAGCAGUAUAGGUCCACAAGCUACGUUUACCUUUCUAAUUUAAAAUUCAGUAUAUACAACUUACUGUACCUUACAAUAUCAUUCUUUCAUCUUACCAGAUCCUGCCUUCUUAUCACUUCAUCGGCAAACUGUUUCGUCAUCGCUCAGCCCAAAUUUCUAUCAAGAUUUGUCCAAUUCAAUUUGCUUUUAUCAACCAUUUGACUCAGCAUAUCCAAAUUCCUUGGUAACAAUCUUUUCUGCCUACCGUUUGUAAGCACAUUUUCUUUAGACAAAAUAAUUUACUCUCCUGGAUAAACUGACUUACAUUCUCUUAUUUGUAGAAACUCCCUCGAUUUGUCCAUCACUUUCUAAAUGCUGAGAGAACUCCAACUAUAGUUCUAAAAACUGGCCACAACAUCACUGAGGUUGGGAUAAAGGCCAACCGCCUGAAACGAAAUUGGAGAAAAUUUGUUCUGGACCAUCAUCUACAACAUAAUGACACGCUUGUCUUCAUUCCAGAAUCACAAGCAAACUUUGCCGUUUUAAUUUUUGAUAGUAAUGGAGUUGAAAGGUUUUUCCUUGGUACAAUAUUUUCUCGCUGUAUUUUUAUGGUGGACGAAUAUCCACUUACAUAUCUAAUGCUCAAUCAAAUGUAUAAUUAGCUUAUUCUUAGCGUGUUUCUCCACAACAAAACUCCUUUGGUUUUCAAUAGCAUGCAUAGCCAACAUUUUAUUCUGCACACGAAUAUAUUCCCCUGCUACAAAAGAUGCUCAGAUUCCUGACAAUGGAAUGAGUUAUCCCAACCAAACAUCACGCAUGACCCGACACUGAUCAACCAAACUUUUCUUUUCUGCCUACACUACUCCUUUACUGUGCAUUUAAUUUGCAAUAUGUAAUUCUAUGUUGCGGUACAAUUUCAUGCAUUCAAACACAUUCCCUUCUUUUGAUUAACUUAAAUUAUAGUAUUUACUAAUUCGCUAUAACAGAUACCACAAUUUACUAAUUCCAAAUCAUGAAAAUUUCCCAUUUCGUUUUGCUCGCUCUACCUAUUUUGUGUGAUAAAAAAUAGUUAACUCUCUAGCUCCACAGUGAUCACUAAAUGUUCAUCACAACUAGAGCUAAACAGCAAAAAACUUGUUCCACAGAAGGCUAACAUGAAGAAAAACAAGUAUGACAGUCCAGGCAUUUACGAAAUAAAAAAACAAAAAGUGCAUGAUGACCGAACAAGAUACAAGACGAGAAAAUCAGUGCGUACAUUCACGCUCAGAUGCAAUCCACUGUGCUUCUGCAAUUCUUACAACUUACUUUGAAAAUCUCUACCAAGCUAAACAUCUUCUAUUCUAUUACUUUCCUACAAAAAAAAGGCACUUAAGGGAUCCUCAUCUUAGUUGACACUUCAGAUGCUUAAACCUGUCAUUAACCUCUAUAAUAUUGUUUGAUCAUGCCUUUCCACCUUUAUUACUGUUUCCAUUGAAUGUACUGAAAACUUUUUGCUUCCAAUAAUCCUGCUCACUUUUAUUCGAUCUCAUUACAUGGAUGCAGAGUUAAUAAUCCAGUUCUUCUACUCCAAAUGCUUAAAUGAUUGUUUUUUUAUUUUACUUUACACAUGCAUAAAAAUUAUUCUACGUAAUAUAAUACCACAUUCAAAAUUCAUCAAUGCCGAUAUUCAAACACUCAAAAACAGCAGCUAUGCCAAUCUUUUGAAAAAAAUUACAGCAAACAACAUCAACAGCGAAUCUCUGAACAUAUUCUUUUUAUGAACAUUUUGUACUUUUCACUGCCUAACAAUGAAUUCACGUGAACCUUUCACAUUCUGAUCACUUUAUCAGCAAUAAUAGUCCUUACUACAGCUGUCCAACUUUACCUAUGGAUCAAAAUGAUACCAUGCAUAUCAAUCUUAUUACAUUCAAUAGUUUUAUGUUUUACACUUAUAUUAAUCCGUCUGUGUUGAAUUCGUAAACAUUUUACCUUUCUAUGCAUUCCACCAACACGUGUUACAACAAAACAACAACAUACAAAACUUUCCUUCCUCUAAUUCUACUUUUAGCAACAACAUCUUGCUUCUCUUCACCUUCAUUUCCCCUCGUUAUCAUCUUAAAUUUCUUUCCUUUCAGUUAAACUUACACAUUUCCUUGCUGCUCACCAUCAGGUUUACAUUAUUUACCUUUCAAAUCUUUUGUGCAUACACUGCUAUACUUCCUUGAAUAAUUUCUCUGCUUUCUACUCUCUGCUCACUCCAAAGUCCGGCUUUAUUUCUUCUACCUUCUCUGUUCUUGCUUUUAUCAAUAAUAGUUAUUACUCUUAUUUAUAUUUUUUUUGCUAACUAUUAAACUGAUACCCAUCAACCUCCAUAUCCCUGCAGGUCCUCUUCAUCCUUUUCUUAGCUUCGAACUAUAUCCUUUCUGCAGCCCUUUUACCUCAUAUAGCUUACACUUCGCCUAUUUAAUUUUUCUCUUUUCUACUAUAAAAUACCUUGCAAUGGAACCUGUAAUAAUCCCUCUAUCCGCUAUUCAUCCGCAUUCAUCAAACUGGACAGUUGCUCUCCAAGUUAUUGAAGUUUCUCAAACAAAAAAAAAAUCCCACCUCCAACAAAACUUUCGCACCUUUGUGCUUGCCGAUUCCCAGGUAACACAUACUUAAUUUCUUUUUUACCUCAUGUCUAUUUACUUAUAUCAUAAUACCUUUUAACAAUUGUUAAUAUCAGGGUGUAAAAGUUAAUAUGCAUGUUAUCGGGAACAUGAUUGAUCAGCUUGCUGGAUUACUGUUACCGUUAAAAAAAUACUAUAUCUCUGGAGCUAUUGUUCACCAACUACAUGAUGGUUCUACUCCUACCGAAUAUCCAUUUUACUGGAUCGUUACUCAGGCUACAUCAAUUCGCGAAAUUGAAGAACUCGAUUAUCCCUCUCUUCCUUUACAUUUUCGUUUAUAUCCGUUUACUAUGCUAGACGCCGUUGCUGAUACCGAACAGUUAAUAAGUAAGUUAAUCAUCAUGCUCUGCUUAUUUUCCCACCCAUUUUAAUUCCUGAACAAUUUUUUUUGAUCUUAACACAUUCACUUCUUUCGUUUUCCUAAGCUAUCAUGGCAGUUAUACUUCAUGCUCUGCCUAACAAAAUUAUCCCUGUUGAAGGAGCACCAUGUGUACUUCGAGACUAUGUCAUAGCUAAUGAAGAGUAACACAUUUCAUUACUAAUUUAAAUUCCACUUCCAUUUUCCAAAAUAGUACUCGUUUCCAACAAUUAAUUCUAUUCCUUUUUAUUUCACAGCAUGAAACCUUUAAUACUGACUUUGCGCGGAGAAUUUGAAGAAAUUUAUGGCCCUACUAUUGCAGCAGCAAAAGACCCUUUUCCAGUUAUCAUCGCCAUAAGAGUCAAAGCUACAACAAAUCAUUGUAAUCACAUACUUCGCCUCUAUUAUUUUAAGUGUUUUCUAAACUUUUAUCAUUCCAAAAAAAUAUUUCCUCUGCCCGCUUUAUAAUUUUUACCCUCUUCUUGCCAAUCGUAUCAGAUUUAAGCCUCUCAACUGAAUCUUCCUCAGUGAUUUUGAUAGCUCCGAUCGCUCAACAAGCAAUGCAUUUACAAAACUGGUAAAAGUUUUACCCACCUUGUGCAUUAACAUCGCCCUUAUUAUCUAGCAACUGACCCUUUUCGCUUUAAUCAUAGGCAUCAUACCCAUGCUGAUGUGCUAAGACAAAUGCUUAAUCAGAGUAGUUACACUAACCCUCGCAUUCUUCUUCCUCCUGUAAACAAUAAUCGAAUCACUCAUAUUGCUACUGUUCUUCAACAAGUAAACUCCCUUAUUCAAAAUUUAAAUUUACAUACAAUAUUCUUUUCAUGCACUUCUCUUCUUCCUUUUUUUUUAAAGCUAGCUCUUUUUUUGUACCUUUUCUUUCUCAAAGAAACCAAGGACUGCCUGGAUUCAAGGUAUUGUGGAGCUAGAUUGUGUACCUCUAAAGUUAACUUAUAUAGCUUGUUCCCUCUGUUAUUAUCCGAGCAAACUUGUAAGCAAUUUGCCAGUUCCAUGUCAACAUUGCCGCUCUAACGCGGAUUUGGUUCCUAGGUAAACAUAAUUAUUUACUCCUCUUGCUUCCUUUCACAGCCGACUUUAAUUGCUUUCAUUUUCUAACUGCAAAACUACCUACUUCUUCAUUGUAGAGCUCUCAUUGCAAUUUCACUCACUGAUGCAACUGGAUCUUUAUGUGCUGCUGCUAUAGAUAUUGAAGCAGAGAGACUCAUUCAAUAUUCAACAGCCGAGCUAUACUAUUUACAACAGGAGGUAAAAACUAACACUUUUUUAUACUCAAUAUUUUCUUCCUUCUUUUUUAAAUUUAUUACAAUUUCCUUCCAUCUAUUUUUACAGCAGAACGUUGAUCUUACUCAAUACCUUGCGCGUACUUUACAUGGAAAGCUGCUCAUGUGCUACAUUAAGCCCUCUCCUUCCAAAUUCAAACCCAUCAGACGUGCAGCUUAUGAAAUUAUCACAUCCUACGCAAUCGAUGAACUAUUUAAUGCUGAAAAUAUUAACAUGAACAACCUUAACAUCAAUGGUUAACCUUUUACUUAUUUUGCAUACAUUCCUGUUGCCAUUAAUGUGUUCUCUACUGUACGUAUCUAAUCAUAAUUGCUGCAGACAAUAACUAUAUCUACUAUUUUGUUAUCUUCAGCUUUAUAUUCCUCCUUUAUUGCAUACUUAUUUAUUUUACAAAAAAAUUGCAACUCUACAUUAAAUAUCUGCGAUUAUCCCAAUAUUAAAACAAAUAUAAUUGACCCAAACAUUCAGAUUAUAAUAUUUCACAAUUUCCAAUUGAUUUUUUCCUAUACAAAUAAUUUACCUUAAAUGACGUAUCGACUUUUAAUCAAUACAAACCUAAAACCAAUACGUAUAUAAACAUUUAAGUUCUUCUAAUUGACCCAAACAUUCAGAUUAUAAUAUUUCACAAUUUCCGAAUGAAGUUUUCCUGUACAAAGAAUUUACCACAAACGAAAAAUCAAUACGUAUAUAAACAUUUAAGUUCUUCUCACACAAAUUCUACAGGUUUCUGGGCAAUCCUUAGACUUAUACCGCGCAUGGCGCGGUACCACCCCCUAGUUAUACAAAAAAGAAGAAAAGAUGGUGAUUCACUAAAACCGUGGUUGGUUUCUCAAGGGUACAUACAAACCAUGGGAGUAUGUGUAUAAGCAGAGCUAUGGUAUUUAGCUAUUCAUCUCGUGAUUUUAAUUGUUCCAAAUUGAAGGAAUGAUACUCUAAGAUGUUUAUAACAGAGGCCGAAACUUGCGAAUCAUCCAAAUUGAAGUUUUCUUGACAUUAGUCAUCACAAAAUUUAUUCAGUUGAUUUUCAGAGAAGAAACCCUUUCAAGCGCUGCAGACCAAUAAUCAUAUAGUAGCAAAAUGAACGCCUAUAACCAACCAGUCAGUCGAAUCACGCACAGCCCAAAUUACACUACUCUAAAAUCGUAGAUACGAUAACAAACACAACACCUCCACUCACUCUUCAGUAGAGAAUGUAGUAGGAAUAGAGCGUUGAUUGCCCAACUUGAGAUGGUCAUGGCCUGAACCAAAUCCACUCGCUACCCAACUCAAUAAUCAACCUCCUCUUCCUUUCUCGCGUUUGGGUUUGGGCACAAUCUUUGGCCCACAAGCUACCAACUUGGUUAACAAUCAGCCGUUGACUCGGUAACACAAUUCACAAACAACCAAUUUUAACUCCUCCUACCAUUUAAGCAUCUAAUCCUAAUGGACCCAAAUGUCUGUCUAUGGUAUGGUACAAUAAGAGGUUCCAUAUAUCCUUUUUUUUCCCAAGAACAAGAGCAAAUACAUAAGCCAGCCUAGAAAAAUGUCAUAUCCUAAAACACGAGACGAGACAACAUGGUACAAAGUAACAAAACAAAACCUAAAUAGGUACUUCCAUUUUUACAGGUACAAUUGAAGUACCAACAGACUCGCCCUGAAUCCAGUCCUUGGCGCAUAUCAGAGCUUCCACCGUCUCCGGUCGCAAUGAACACCGGUAACGAUCCAUCUCUUUGCCCACAGUAUCGAACACUGAGCCCACCGGCACGGUGGAGACUGGGAUUGACAAGAUAUCACGAGCCAUCUUUGAAAGGGUUGGGUACUUCAUUCUGUUUAGCUUCCACCACCCUACGACGUCAAAUUCAUGAACCCGAGGCAGCAAAGACUCCUCCAAGUACUGAUCCAAUUCUGAUUUUGACUGCUGGCUCGUCGUCUCCAUGAUGUACACAUCGAAAUCCGUGAGCCCAAGCCCAUUUGACGCUAGCAGAUUCCCUCCUUGCGGAUCCUCAGCCUUCACGGUACCGUUAUUUGCUUCUUCGACAUACGUUGGGGUCAGUGGCAGCGGGAGCGCAACAUACUCCAGGAACAGCUCGUGGAUGCCCUCAUCAACAAUCUUUACGUAUGUGGCAGCCUCUUCGUUGUAGAUCUUGGAGAAACUGAAUUCCACGAGCUUCAUCUUGAACCUGGGAUCCACGACCACAGCAAUUGCUAAUAUAAAGCAGCAACUCUUCCAAUACCUGUCAAAUUUCUCUUGCAUGGAUUUGGUGAGGCUGCUAAUGAAGGGAUCCUCGCUUCCUGCUGCACGUCCAAGCUCCAACUGAAUCUUCCAAGCUUCAUGGAAGAAUGUGUUUGUUGUCGGAACAGUCGGGACUGUCAGGAGGUUAGCCGUCUCAAAAAGGGGUUUCAGGUACGUGCACAGAGUCUCCACCUGCUUCCAGUCUUCCAGUGACGGUGCCUCUUUGUAAUCAGGGUCUGAAGUAUCCAGACAUGAGAAAACUUCUUUCAGUUCACAUGCAGCCAACAGCAUUUCAUAUGUUGUGUUCCAUUUAGUUAGGUCGUCGAUGGCUAGAACUUUUGUGCUAGGCACUUGAAGUUGCUGCUUGAGCUCAAGAAACUUCUCCUCGUGGGAUUCUGAAGUUUUCACAUAUUUCACACUGUCUCUAACUUUCUUAACCGUUCCGAACACAGACGUUAAUGCAUCUUGGGCAAUGCUACUCAGACUUCUAGCAAGACAAUUGCCCAGCAAGAGCUGACCAUUGAGAACAAGAGGGUUCUUAACAGACAGUAGAGCUCUUAAAUUAUCAACUGCAGCAUCACUCAAGGACUGAUUUAUGGUGACAGAGAAUAACUUUCCCUCCAUGCUCCAAUCUGAUAAACAAGCAGCAACUGCAUGGCUGAAAGCAGCAUCUGAAUCUGGAUAAGGUUCCAUGAUGACAUUGAGAAGCCUCCUGUGCAUUUUCCACUCACUAUCAAUAAAAUGCCCACUUAGAAAGACAUAGCCUAGUCCUCGGCAAGAAGACCACAUAUCCAGGGUGAGGCAAAUACGUCCUGCCAUUGCUUCAAUCACCUUCUGAAUGGACUGUUUUUCCCUGAGGUAGGUUGCUACACAAUCCCCUUGGACAGUGUUGAAACUCACCAUAUCGAAUCGAGGCUGAAGAUUCUGAACAAAAGCAACAAAGCCUGGAUGCUCAACAAUGUUAAGGGGGUAAUCAUGCAUGAUUAUCAUCCUAGAAAUCUCAUCACGGCAACGGUCAGGAUCAAAUGAAACGUAAGGUGCUGCAGUAGUUCUGUAACGACGUCUUGGAGUAUCAGUACCUGCCCCAUAUCCACCAACUUUUGAAGGUGCACUAAAUGGGCUGGACUGAUUUUUCUCCUGAUUACGAAGGACAACUGGGCAGGUUCCUUUAGCAAUGUGGCGUUUAAGAUGACUAGUGCCUGCUACUUUUGAGCCCGUACUGUAUGCGAAUGAUUGCUUGCAUUGCUUACAACAUGCCCUUCGACAACCAGCACCAACUGUUUCAAUGGUGAAGUGUUCCCAAACUAUAGACUUCUUCUUUCUACGCUUGUUAGGUUGAGUUUCUGGGAUGCUUGGUGGUGUUUCUAUAUUGUUGGGCUGUGGCUCAACUGGGACAAUCUGAUUGUUUGCAGCAGCAGUAGGCAUCUCAACAUCAGCGGUGAUGUCAGUGGUCACAUCAGUAGUGAUAUCGGUGGUCAUAUCAGUGGGGAUAUCGGCGGUCAUAUCAGCAGCCGUAUCAGGCUUGAAAUCAGGGGCUGGUGCAUCAACAGUCGGGGUUGACAUCUUGAGGCCAAAAGAAGUUAAAUUCUACUGCAGGCAGGAUUAUUCCAAAACAGAAUACCUGGAAAAUGGAACAGCAACUGCAAUGAAGAACGAGACUCGAUGGCCGACAAUACAUGAACACAUAAACAGAACAUGUGAGGUAGAGGUUACACAUUAUUAAAGAAGGUUGAUAUAAAAGAAUGCGCAUGAGAAUAAAGGAUCCUUCAUAAGCACACACCAGUGCGAGGGCAAACCUAAAACCAUGAAUAAUCUCAAUUCAUCUAAAAUAAAAUAUGUGGACUCGAACAAAAAGCCAAAAUAGUACUACUUGCAAUGUGUGGCAAAAGAAAGACCCCUGUGCAUAACCACGACAAACACAAAGCAUAAGUGGCAUAAUCUGUGGAAGAAAGUUGCACUAACAGACUUGACACAUCAUUAUAACAAAUCUUUAACAUGUUUAAAGUAGGAAAGAACCCAUAAAGUGCAGGAAAACAUAGGAAAGAACCCAUAAAUGAUGCAUGCACAAAAGCUUUUCAAUUCCAGGGAACGAUAAAAAUCAUCUGUGCCCAAGGCAUCAGCAGUAUUUCAUCUGUGCCCUGGUCAAAGCUACAGUCUUCCACAAACGAAUGCCCCAUAUUUAGGUCCAGGCAUCACGCUUAUUACCAUUUCUCCCCCACCCUACUCCUAUUGUUAAGACAACACAAAGACAACACCUUUGAUAAGUGAAGAAAAACCUAACAAGUGAAGCUGCAGGAAAUAAGCUACAACACAAACAUCUAGUAUCAAACAGUCGCCUUUUUUUUUUUUUUCCCGUGGUGGGGGGAAAUAAGAGAAGAAAACGUCCAAGGCAAAAUUGAUUGGGCAACGGUUAAUUUACUUAAAGAAAAAAAAUUUCAGAUGACGAGGCCACCUUCCCAGUGAUACUAGUAAAAAUUUGUCCCCCGAAGGAAAACAAAAUAUGUUAUAGCAACUGUUAAUAGACUCGAAUGGAUCCAACCAUCUCAGAAAAAGAAUGGGCUGUGCCUUCUAUAUGUGGUAGUGAAGUGUUAAGUGUGCCGCCACAACACCAGGUCCUGGAGUUCUCAGGGCCCAGGGCAGGAAUAAUAUUUAAUAAUAUAUUGUUUAUGACAAAACAGACCCUCGCGGACAGAAUACGUUACAUGGGCUAAAAUCACGGCCCGUUACUAAAAAAGGUCACGAACAGGGUUAAAAAGGACAUUCUGUAUUUGACUGGGCUAACAACAGGUCAACAAUCAUAGACAGAAGCAAAAACAGAUCUACAGAUGGGCUUCAACAAAGAAUCUAAAAGAACAGCCCAGAAAAUACUAGAGACCCCCCAAAGCAAGAAAGAACCACAUGGUUUUGGUUCUUCAUCAGUGCCUAAAUAGACAAAGUCAAGACGAAACUCCUCUCUUGGACUGGUCGGACUCCUCUUUCUUCGAGGAAUUCAUCGGGCUACUCUGGUAAACAAAGUAAUUAAAUGAUGCUACAACUGAGGCGGGGAAAAUAAAUUUGAAAGAUGGAAAAGGAAAAACAGAAGUUCGCAAACCAAAAUACCAGACGCAGAAAGGGGGGGGGGGGAAUGAAAGAACUCUUGAUCAACUCUGUAAAUCAUCUGCCAAACAACAUAGGAAGACGAUACCGUACAACACUUUUAUCAAACAUGAGAACCAAGAAAAAGAAAGGAAAUUGGAGAAUUAAUGAGAACAAAAGGUAAAAUCGGUUGAAUCCACCGACCAACGAAAAGAAAAUUCUAAUGAAAUCACAAGAAAACGGGACAGAAAAAAUGAAGAAAAUAAGCGGUCAGAUUUCCGCGUUUUCAAGAAAAAGAAGGGAAAGUUCAAACCUGCACAAGAACUCGUUUUGACAAAGACCCAGAUGGAAAAAACUCGAUUUUGAGGGGAACCCAGGAAGAAAAGCGGUAUCUUUCAGCAAAUCUAGAGCUGAACCUACGAUUUGCAGAGCCAGAUCUAGGGUUUCUGCAGAGGGGGAGGAGAGAGAGAGGAGGAGGAGGAGCAGAGAGAGAGAGAGGAGAGAGGAGAGAGAAAGAGAGAAUUGGGCUUGAACCCGAGCAAUCCAAUUGGACCGUUUCGGUGUGUUAAUCUUUGGGGUUGGUUAGGACUAAAGAAGUGAUAAGAUUCAAUGGGGGAGCGAUACCACAAUUAAAGUGUAUUGGAUAUGGACUUUGAGGUCCAUUUAUUGUUCUACUGUGUGAAAGUCAUGCGUGUGUAACUGUGUGUUCUCCUCCUGCAUACAGAACAAAGACUACUACACUAGUCUACCAAGUAACGUGCUCUAAUGGGAUUUGUGAAAAGAAUUUUGAUGUGCCUUUUCUGGGAUGGUUGGGCGGACCACAGCCCACCUUUAGGGGAUGGUUAGGUGGACUUUUUAGAGGGACAAAGGGGGAGGACGGGGUGCACAAGGUGCGGGGAGGGGUGGGUAUGGCGUACGUGUAGCCCACUGGAGUGCUCCGUGGACUCUAUUUCUAUGGUGGGGGCCUACACUUGGGGAAAGAAUCUUUUUUGGAAAUUUUGAAAUUAGCCCAAGGCAAAAUAUUUCAGAGUCCUGGUGAAGAUAUUGAGGAUCUGGACCAUAUAUGAUACUCCAUAUGGGAUCAUGGGAUGUGAUGCAUCCUCAUUUUUCACCGGGGAGAGUGGGUGGGAUUGUCAUUCCUUGUCUCUAUCUCAAUUCCAAGCACCAUCACUCUCUUUCUCACAACUACAAAGGCCUUUUUUUUUUGUGGCAGGAUCGGUUGGUUCAUACACUUGAGAGAUAGAAAAGAUUUUUCCAAGGUCUUUUGGCGUGUAUUAGGUGGGUUGCUGCUUGCUUGACCCCAAGCAAGUCUUCUCCAAUUUAAAAUCAAGGUUUUGAUGCUACUGAAGUGUAUACCAUAUGUUAUUAAUUAAAGACAUGUUAUUGUAAAGAGGGUUUUGAUGGAGUCCAAAAUUUUAGGCAUACAUUUUCUAAACAUCCACAAUAUUCUCAAUCAAUUUAAAGGAAAGGGGGAAAAAAAAAAAAGAAUUGCUGGCUGACAUAAAUGGUCGGCACCCAGCUUUGUUUGGACUGCAUUUUUCUGAAUUUUUUUGUAGAAAAAUUACUAUUGCGAUUUGAUAUUUAUGAGGUAAAAAGAUAAUUUGUCAUUCGAAAACGUAGCAAUUUUUCUUUGAAAAAUUACAAUCCAAACACACAGACUCUAAAGAACCGAUAACAAAAUAAGAUUCCAAGACCAGUACCCCUUUUUUCUCAUAACAUAAAGUUGUACAAAAAAAAAAGGAGAGAGAUUGGGGUAUGGCUGAAGUAAUAGACUCGUCAAGGCCUCGAGAGUGUGUGUGUCAAUCGUUCGAGUAAGAAAAGAAACGAUUUUUCUUGGUGUCGGUCCGUUCUGAGAGAUGUGGCUUUCAUAAAAUUCACAAAGCAUUUAAAUCAAAUCCGUGAAAUUAUUUGACCAUAAUCUGUAUGCCUUCCUCCUCAGCAGCAGCAGCAUCUGUUGCUCAUAACAGCUUUAAGCACAUCACUACUAAGGAUAAAUAUUUCAAGUUUGUGAAUCUUAUUCUUGACAGGAAAGUCUAUGAUGGAGAAAUAGUAGCAGCAGCGUAUGAUUUUGGAUCACCCAACCAACUCUAAGGACAUUAUUAAUAUUGGUGGCAGCCGAUGGUAUUGGUGUCCUCGGACUAGAAGAAGCAGCGGUCAUAUAUAUAAUGUAUGGUCCCUCCCUUUAGCAAAAAAGACUUUGGGCUAAUAAGGCUUUUGAGUUUUGAACGAACAAACAGACAAACAAACAAUUCGGCCAACAUUUAACCCGUAACGCUGAUGUUCCUUCAUGGAUCACUUAACAUUUCUUUUUCUCUCUUCUUUUUUUUUUUUUUUUAAAUCGUAAUAAUGAGCUGGGGAUAUAGUGACUUAACAGACCCCAUUACGUAAUGAAAAAAAGAUCUCAAUAAUUCUUCAGCCCAAUGACUCAAAAGUUAGCCACAGCCACUACUCUUCUUUCAAGACAUUGACGGAAAGGAAAGGAAAGGGUUACUUUCAAGGCGUACCGCUAGUCUAUGAAUAAUGUCAUCAGUUUAUUAUGCUUCCCAAUAAAUAUGGAUCGGUCAUGACCAUGCAGGCCAUUAGAAAUAUGAGCAUUUCCUCCAAUGGAGAAGCAUCAUCAAUCAGUAGUAAUUCACUUGAAACAAGAAUUAUUUUUUUUUUCAAAAGAUCAUGAAAAGAAAAAAUCUAAGCUUUGAGCUGAUUGCACAUUUUUGGACAAAGUUGAUGGACAGUUGAUAAAGAACAUUAAUUCUUAGUAUGGUAAAACAGUACUAUAUAUUCCAUGAAUUGAACAUUUGCGCUAGUGAUAGGACUACAACUGAAGCAAUUCUAAGCUUAAUGAACAGAAGAUUUUGUUUGCAUGAAAUCGUUUUGUACCAAAAAAUGAAAGAAAAAAAAGAAAUCAUUUGCACAACAAUCAACCACCAAAAAAUGAUAUUCUCUGUUGUCUACACCACAUAAUUUUUUGUUUAUUGCGCACACUUUCAAUAAUCUUUUGUUGUCUACGAAUGUCAUUCUCCUAUGCUUAAUAAAAUCAUUUCAUUUCCAACCCAAAGGAAAAAAAAAAAGACAGGAAAAUUGAGCUUCAGACUUUCUUGUUUCCUCCCAACUCCCAAACUAUUUUCCUCGGGGACCUCAUAUCGACAUGCCCACUAGUUGACACCUCGCGGCUUUCUUUUAAAUUCUUCAUUAUGCAACAAAAGGAAAACUACAACCUACAUUCUAUAAUGUGUACGUGGUUCUUUUAAGAUACUCCUGCCCUUUAUUACUCAAAAGCGGACAAAUUGAAUGCAGGAAAACUACAAGGGCAGUUAAUUGAAAUGCAAUGAUGUUCACGAUUGUUCACUUCCUAACAACAGGAAAAUUUUUUUUUUAAAAAAAAGAUACAAAUUGAAAAGGGGAGAAUAGGUCGAAGCAAAGAAAAGUGCGGCUCUUAAAAAAGCGAAGCAAGAGAUGGUUGAACAGAGUGUCCAGAGUCCUGACUGGGGAUGGGAAAGACAAAGUCGUGGGUUAAAUCAAAACGACAGUGUGGUCUUUUAAAUCGUUGUCUCGGGCAUUAUGUCUUUGUAGCAUAUAUGCACACAAGAAUUCCUUGAUAUGCUGACAAAAGAGUGCAUGGUUCUCCAUGCAAUUGUCCCCAAAAGGUACACGUACUUACCUGCAAUCCCCUACACCACCAUUAUUGUCUUCCCCGCAAAUUAUCUUGGAUUCUUGCUCUAUUCCAACGUACGAAUCCCUUCCUUCCUUGGGCCUGCUUCAGUAGUUUGAAGUACUCUCAUUCAGGAUCCAAUUCAACACAGAGCUUUGAAAUUUUUUAUUACAUUAUUAUUUAGGUUUUUGUCAAGAAUUGCUACGCUCCGAAAUCAACCACGUCUAAAACAUAAGAAGGGUUUUUUUUGGUUAAACAAACCAACAAGUUAAACGCCUUCGAAACUCGCAUGACAUUUUGUCUAAGAUGAGGCUUGACUUUCGGCAUAUAGAUCCGAGCUAUGAUAAUGCCAAAGUAAAUUCUGCUGCUGCCUCGCCUCCUCAUUAACGAGUAUAAUUUACCGAGGUUGACUUUUUAAAGACUGGCCUCCAAAUAAAUGUAUAGAUGUCGACUAAACCAGAUGCCAAAUUAAAAUGAUCUAAUCUCGACUCUGACGUUCAAAAUUUCAGACUCUGGCAUCUUUGAUCUGCUAUGGGAUAAAUGUGGCAUGCGUUAGGUUCAUUAUUACGUUGACUUCCAAUCGUUUGUCACAAACAAGAGCAAGACUCUUUUUUUCAUCUUAUCUUUUCUGCAUAGGAAAUUCUAACUAUUAAGUCUACGCUUGGAUUGCUUGUUUCCGUCGGAAAAUAUUAUCGUUUUCCGUGAUCACAUUUCCCUAUCAUUUUUUUCCCUCACAUAAAUCAAAUCGCUACAGUAAUUUUUCUAUGAAAAAUGACGGAAAAUGCAAUCCAAACAUACUGCUCUGAAAGUAAUGGAGAGGCACUUAAUAGUUCAUGUACCUUUGCCAGUGAUGGAGAGGGACUUAAUCUAUAAUUAUAUAUUGCUCUGAAAGUAAUAUACAUACUCCCAAUUACUUGUUAAGUAAUCCUUCACUUGUCAUUUCCCAAUUGUAGAAAAAUACACUCGUCUCCGUUUUACAGAUGCCCGGCCUACUGUUUCUUCCCCUUCCCUUCUUUUACCAUUGGCUAAAAUAAAUAUGCCGUUUCCAGAAAUUUUUUUGUAAAAUAAUCCAGACUAUAGAUUGGUUGGAUUGAGGUGGAUAUGUUCUCCUGGCUGGAACACAGUUGCCGUCCUUCAUCAUGUACGGUUUUAUUAAUUAAAGGGAAAAAAAUUAAAGGAAAGAAAAAAAAAAAAAAGGGGUCAGUGUCCAUGCACCUUUGCUUCGGUGGCGUUAUUGUUCCCUUGCUGCAGUCACAACAUUAUUAAUUUUUUGUAACGGUCUUUCUUGUUCUGACUCACCGGCAGAGCCUCGCUGUGUUUACAAUUACAGCCGCCCCUCUUCAACUUUUCAAGCAUUAUUAAUAUUAUUGAAAGGGUUUUUUUUUAAAAAAAAAAAGAAAGAAAGAAAAGUUUAGCUUUUCCAAAACGUCCGUCAAUUGCACACUUUUAAAUAUAAAAAAAAAAAAAAAUGGUCUCUCUUCCCCACCAUUGUCUCCCUAAAUAUUUCUGUAAGAUGGAACCCUAUAGCAAAAAGGUCUAAGAUCUCCAACCGAAGAAUUUUAGAGCUACAAAAACUGGCAAUGUACAAGAACCCUAUUGCCUUAUUUUAUUAUUUGAUGUCCAGUUUCCUUAAUUUAUGAGCAUUUUACUAGCUAGUUACCUCUCAGUUGUGUUCUAGAAAUAUAUUUGCUUUCGCUAAUUAUACAUUACUAGUAGUACUUCACAAGUUAUAUUUUGAUUUGGAUAAGAAUGAUCAGUGUAUUACAUUACAUAUCAAGGAUUCUUCUAUUUUUCAGCUCAGAUUUAGUGUUGCUUUGCCUGCAAAAAUCUAAAAGCUUCUUCACUUUGAAAGUGCUGGCAAUUCAGAAGUGAUUAAUGGUGAUAAAUUUAAUAGAAAUGGUAGUACUUGCUAAAAUUAAUGAUGAAAUCAAACGACAAAAAAGCAUAUUUACAGCCUAAUGAAAAGCAGGUGAAUUUCACUACACUAAUCAACUAAAUUAAGAAGUGAUUGCCAGCUAACUUAAACUAGAAGAACCCACUAACUUCCAUGAACAAGGCUGUAUUGGAUUAUAGAAUACUACUAGAAAGUCUUUAUCUCCCUCUCUGUCGCUGUCUCUGUCCCAGCCUCACACGCACAACACACACUACUCAUACCCACACGAACACAAUACCCAUUUCUUAACACCAUCAGCGUGCUGCUGUACAAUUAUAAAAUGAACCCACGAACACAAAAGAAGAAGAAGAAGAUGAUGAAUAAGAGAAAAAAAAAAAAAAAAAAAAGGCGUAGGGGGUGUGGGUUUUGGAGGGAGGAGCACUUGAGGUGGAGGUGGAUCUCGUACAGAUACAAGCAUCAGCGUCCAUACCCGACAGCGAGACCUUCGUCCGGGAAAAACGGGGUGCAUGUCAUUUUUUACACACGUUCCCACAGUGGGUCCAUUUAUCGAAACACUCAUACAAAAAACUGUGAGUUAUGAAAGGGGUUCCCACAGUGGGUCACCCUCACAUGCCGCCAUGUGAGACCAUUGCAUCCUUUCUUUCGUUAUCCCCCGCAAACCCCAUUUCCUUAAUCCCCCAUUCCCCCUCUAAUUAAACAAUUUUAGGCCUCCCCCUAACGUGUUUCUGUUAUAAGCAUUGCUUUUUCCCACUUUCAUCUCAUGGAAGUUGUGUUGCACUCUCGCAUUCCAGAUUCAGUAAUUCAUGUUUGCCAAUGCAACAUGCCUGUAAUCCUUCUGAAUUUUAUGUGCGGUAGAGUGUUGGGUUCCAUGAAUCACCAACUGUAUUUUAUAAUCCAGAUUCAGUGGUAAUUGAAUAAGUAAAUGAAUAAAAUUGGCUUUAAGUUUCACUACCUUUUAGAAAGGUUCUAGGGCUGAGGUUGAGAUCCCAAGAGUUAGGGGUCAUGGAUUCCAAUACUCCUCCUCCUUUCUUAAAUCCUACCAUUCUUUUGCUAAAAAGAAACUCUACAAAAAAAAAAAAAAAAAAAAGUGGUCUGUGAGUAUUUGUUAAGAUGAAGUUUUAAGUGUUAAUAUUUUAAAAAUGUAAAAUUUAAUAGAGAAUGUAUAUAAUUAUAAAGAUGUGAUGUAGGCUAUCAAAAACAGUGCCUACCAAUUGGAAAAAAAUCCUUUUGAAAAUGCAAAAUUGAAGAAUCACAAGGGAAAUCAAUUUGUUUUUGGUGUUGACUCUAUGAUUACAGAGACAAAGUAGGGUGCAUUUGAUAAAAUUAAAGUCUGAAGUUUGAAAUAUGAAAUAUGAAAAUUAAAAUCUUAAUAUAUUAAGUUAUUGAAUUGUUAAAUAUUAAAUCUAAUGUAAUUGAGUGCAUAUCACAUUCAAAAAUAAGUGAAUAGUCUAUUACUUAAUUUUGAGAGCAAGUUUUGCUUAGAAAAUUCAGUGCCACUUAAUUAAUUUAGAUGUUCAAUUUUUUGUUAUCAAACGGUUUGAAUAUGUUAGAUCUGAAUCUAUUAAAUUUAAAUGUUAAUUUGGGUUAUUAAACGGGUCUAAGUGAUAGGUUAUUCAUGUAUCCAUUCAAAUAUAUUAUAUUUAAUAUUUAACAGUUUAAUAACUUAAUGAAUUCAGACACCCUUAAUUUCUUAAGCACGUAACGAAGCUUAUAUUGAAUCGCAAAGACAGAAAAAAUGGCAACAACCUGAUCGAGGGAACUGUAAACCAUUAAUACGGUAACGAAGGAUAAUAGAUUUUUCACUUCACAGGUUGUUCAUUAUUAGUUAAGGUAGAGUCGGCUUCAUUGGCGAUCAAUUCGAAACAGAAUCAUCAAUUUCUUUUUUGCCUUUUUGAAGUAUGACGCAUGAAAAGGUACACGAGCGUAGAGGAACAGUGCAGAAAAUAGCUAAAUUGAUUUGAUUUAUCACUAUUUCAGAUUACAAUAUAUCAACCAACGCGUCUUCGGGCAAAUAAAUCCACUUUUCUCCAUUCUUGUGCCAUGUUCAUAAGUGACGGUACAUAAAAUUGCCUAGGAUUCCUAACUGGCCACAAGUCACAGCCAUAUGCCCUUUGUUUUUUUAAGAAAUACCUUGCUUGUUUGGAUUGUCAUUUUCUGCCAAAAAAUUGCGUGAUUUUUUGUGAUCAUAUUUUUUUAUUAUCUUUUUUUCUCAUAUACAUCAAAUUCCUACAGUAAUUUUUUCAUGAAAAAUCAUGGAAAAUGCAAUCCAAACGGGGCCUAAGGAGAGGAAAAAAAUCUUAUUAAAAAAUUUUAGGAGAGAGAAAAUUCAUUACAUAAAUAAAAAGAAAAAAAACAUAGGAAAGACACCAUAUAUAGAAAUUUAUAAGAAUUUUAUGCCCUUUCAUGUAAUGUGAAUGAGCAGUUACCUCUCAAAAUCGAAAUCAUUGUUCUUAUGCUAUAUUGUACCUUUACAAUCAUACGGGUUUUGCAAUCUUGACUUUAAACUUCAAAAAAAAAAAAAAAAAAAGAGUUCCUACAUAUUGUAUCCUUGAAUUCCCAUCAACAGUGAAUUUUACUAUACCUUUCGGCAAAAUAAGCAAGGUUAUCGCAACCAAUGAUUAGCAAAUUUCUUGUAAAUAUUUUCAUCUCUACAUUUGAUCUCUUGUGGAUAAACAUAAGCAAUGCGCUACAAAUCCUGGACAUGUAUAUGAUUGAAUCAUUAAAUCACGGUGAUUUUGGAAAGAUUUUUCGACAAAUCAGUUGACACUUUAGGAUCAAAAUACAGUUUUUCUAUGUAUACCCUGAGUUGUUUUGAUUUGGUUCACAUGAAUCCCUCCACGCAUGAUCACUACGUCUAGUUAUCUAGAGUUCACGGAACUUAAUUGCCCUUAAAGCUUGCUCUAACAACUAACAAAAUUACAAUCACAAUUUUCAUGUGAUGAACUAGUUUGAAAAGUAGAUAUGCCAUGCACCUAAUCACGGAUCUUUUUUAGAAAUAAAAUUUCUUUGAACAUCAUAUUUUAACAUCUAAAGGCUUGUGCUUUGUGGCAUUAAACUUGACGGUGUAAUGUUAGAAAUAAAAAUUAUAAGAAUUUUUCUGAUGGUUACUAUAGAGAAAGAAACCCUCUACGAACACCUGUCAGGGCUGAAGUGUCUUGCUUGGACCUUUCUCGAACAGAAGCAGAGCAACAAGCAUCUUAGUCUAGGGUUCUCGGGGUAAGGCCAAAGCUUGAACUCAAGGAGAACUCUACUUCUAAUAACCUAACGAGACUCGUACUCUAGGACGUGAUAACUAUUGUGGGGUUAGAGAAUAAACUCAAUAUCACCACAAUCUAUCAAAGGAAGCCUUAUAAAUGGCAAAGGGUUGAACUAAGAAAGGUACAGAACUCAAUACAAAGUCAUUUAGUGCUAUUGAACCCUUAAAAUUGACUUGAGCGUUGGAGCUACCACAAGGAGUUAGUCCCAUAGUUCGCUCAUUGCAGCUCGAUUCAUUUCGUUAGGGGUGUGCAAAAUCGAAAAAUUUCGAUUUACCGACCAGAAUUUUCGAAAUCUGUAAUUCGAAAUUCGGUACUGAAAUCGGAAUUUUCGAUUUCGAAUUAUGCGAAUUUGGUUCGAAUUCGGUAAUGGACUUUUUGAAAUCGAAAUUUCCGAUUUCAAAUUUGUUUUAUAAUAUAUAUAUAUUAAUAUUUAUUUAUUUAUAUAUAUAAUAAUAUUUUUUAUUUCAAUUUCGUUUUAUAAUAUGUGUAUUAAUAUACAUUUAUAUAUAUAAUAAUAUUUUUUAUAAUAUAUGCAAUAUAAAAUUUAUAUUAUAUAACAAUACAUCUAACAAAAAAGAAAAAAAAGGCAAAAAAGGUUUCCGAAUUCCGAAUUGAAUUCGGAUUCGAAAUCGAAAUCAGAACUGGUGAAUUCGAAAUCGAAAUCGAUCGAUAAUUCAUAUGCCAAAAUUUUGAAAACUUUCGAAUUCGAAUUCGAUGCACACCCUUACAUUUCGCUCAUUGCAGGUCGAUUCGUUUCUAUUUAACCAGCAAUCUGUUUAGAUCAUUCUCAGAUCAUUCUCCUCGGCUGACUUUUCAGUUACUAUUAGGCGGCUGUUAGUAUGCUUAAAUCAUACCUAAUUUAUCAUGUGAAUACACACUAAUAAAUAUUAUUUUAUUUUGUAUAUAUAUACUUAGCUUAUUUUUAUAUCGAAGUUUUCAAUCACAAUACUCUUGUAUUCCAAUUGAUGGGCUUACACGAUCUGAACUUCGGAGUGCGUUGAAAGUUUUUGGAAGCUGUUAAUGCAACGCCAAUGACUCAAAUAAUUUGGUGUCAAAACACUGUACCUUAAUCCAUGAUUGUGUGGCUAUGGAAAUUUUGGCAGCGCGUGGCUAUGGAACUACACGUCCAUCAAGAUGGACAGAUCUGAUGUGGGACCCUUGUCUCAAAGCUACAACAGCCGUCAGAUUGUAGAGGCUACGUCCAGACCAAAAUAAAGACGAUCGCUCAUUCUAAGGGUUAACUAUUAUCCAUCAAGUCCCGAUUUGCAUUUUAAACUAUCAAUUGCAACAUUUAAAUACCAUAUAUUAUGUAGGACCCAAAAAAAUACUACUAUAAAUUAUAAACUUAUGUGGUGCAUUACUCUAGCUGAGUAAAAGCCAUGAGUUCUAUUGCGAUAUAAAUGAAAACAGAGAGUCAUUUGAAGAAUACCUUUUUUUGGAUUGUAUUGAGAGAAUACUUUUGAACGAAAAAACUUUAGUCCUUGGGUUUUUUUUAACGGCGCAUGGGCAUUUGUUAACAUAUUUGCAUUUACCAAACCUACUAUGUAUAUAUAAAUACUAAUAGUUAUUAUUCUUCCUUGUAUUUAUAUAUUCUUUCUAUUUAAUCUUACCUACCCUCUAUUAUAUUUAUUUACAUUUCCUAAUUAAUUUUACAUUUCUAAAUAUAUUGACACCUAAAAAUAUAUUUACCGAGUGCCCAUAGGGUACCUGUUAGAAAGAUCCUUAGUCCUUUAGUUCUUGCGAUAUAUUUGAUUGAAAAGACUCCCUUCAAUCCUUUUGAUGAAAAGUUUAAAACAAAUAAUUAGAAAUUUUGUUAAAUUGUGAAUUUUUUUAAUGUAAGACUGUAAGUGAGUUCUUUCAAAUCCGAAAUCUCUCACUUACACGCUCUCCUCAACUACUCUACCCAUAUCUUCUCCCCGUAAUUAAUUUAAACAGUGCAAAAAAUACUAUGAAUACUAUGAUAUAAAGUCAUAUGGAGUUAAAAUUAAUGGUUUAGGAGACAAAUAACAAAUUUCUAACAGCUCAGGAACAAUUCUAAAUAGGGCGGUCGUAAAACUACCAUUAUAUUAUUGAGAUCAAAGGGAUUCCGGGUUAUUAAAUAGGGUAACAGAACAGGCUGUGGUGGAAGUGUUCAGAGAGUUUCUUUUAAGGCCCAAUAUUCUUCUUGGGAUUGGUGGCAAAAAGAACUCAAGUCUCCCUAUAUAUACAUGCCAUCCCUUCGUCUUCCCCUAUACCUACAAAUCUCUCUCUCUCUCUCUCGUGUGAUAUACUGGUACUACUAGUCUCUUUACAGUAAAACACUCGUCUCUUUUGUCAUACAGAAAAAACCCUUUUAGGGUUAGAUCCGAUAUUGCGUGCUUAGAGCCAGUUAGAUAUGGUCCUCUUCGUAUUAUUCCACAGCUUUCUUGAACUGCAUCUGGCUUUAUCACUCCAUGAAUAUGAUUCUUGCGAGACUUCGGUGGAGGUGAUGCGAUGAUGGCGGUUCAAUAAAGCUGUGGGAUGAUACUAAUAGGAUCAACAAACUUCUCGCUCCGAUUUUUUGGCUUCAGUUUUUAACUGCAUGAUAUCUCAGGUUUUGUUUCUUUUUUCUCUUUUUUUUUCUGGCUUUCCCCUUCGUGUUCACGACAAUAGUUACCGGCGUCUAUAGUCUGGCCCGGAACCUGUAGAUGCAGGUUUUGGAUACUACAAUAUAUAUGUAGAUGUCCUAUGUUGUAUAACCACAGAAUUAUUAGAUUCUCAGCCUUUGACUUUUCCAUCCUGCGAGGGAAUGUUUUGUUUUUGUAUGAAGCUAAAUAGUUUCUCCCGUUAUCAGUUAUGUUCAUCUGCAGCUUUUACCCCUCGAGACUAGCAGACUCGUGAUCAGAUCGUUUGAUGUUCUGCAGAUGAGAUGAGGUAGCUUGUAUUUGAUGUUUAAUUCAAAAGCUAAUGCUCUUUAUUUUAUUUUUUCUUUGAUAGCAUACAUCCAUAUAAAUUAGGAAUCAAUUCUUGUUACAAAGUGCUCUCUAGGAACUUCCAUGGUUGACUAUGUUUUCGUGAACAAAAAUAUGGUCUUACAUUCGAGCAAACAAUUAGAUUUAGCAGGAUAUCAGAUUUUUUUUUAAAGUACAUGAUCCAAGAUGGUCUUUUGGUGAUAUCUGUAGUCCCGCUUUUGGGAUCCAUUUCAGGCAGGCAGGCAACUGUCUCCAUGGUUUAGAUAGUUCUCCGCUCUGGUAUGUAUUCUCAUGGACAGCUCAUCUUUGGUCUGCUCAUGAAUUUUUUCUUCGUUCAAUCAAAUAGAUUCACCGGGGGGUAAUGCCUAAUUACCCCUUUCUAUUAUCUUUAUUAUUUAUUUAUUUAUUUAUUUGUUGUGGGUAGGAGGGGGAUGGGGGGUGCAACAAGGGGUUGAGGUAAGGGAAAGAACUUUAAUGAUGCUUAUUUGUCACCAUUAAAAUUAUGUGUGAUUUUCUGAACCCCCAUAUAUGCAUACAAGUUUUUAGGCCAUUCAAUUUUACAAGGACCACAAGGUUUGCAUUGCCUUCUUUCAUGUAUGUAACUAUCAAUUCAGUUUUAGACCAGCUUAUACAUUAAGGUUAUUUGUAUGAAUUCUGAUAAAGCAUAUUAUUUGGAGACUUGGUUGUUGUAGGUCUGAUAAUUUUUAGCCAAAUCGAUUUAGUGCGUUAUUUAUGGACAAUGGUUUCACCUAGGAAAAGAAAAAACCUGGUCAAAUGUUGCAGGAGAAAAGGGUUAAAAGAAAAUUAGGGUUUUUUCCAAGUCCGGAUGAAACGAGACAUGCCUGAAGAUCGUAUCCCUGUUUCCUGGGAAUGGUGCAAGCAAAUAAGUCAUCCAUGUAAAAUGUGUAUUCAAGCACCAGUUACAGAGCUUGGGAAAGAUCCACAUUUUCUUUCUUGGAAAAAAAAAAAAAAACAGUAGAAUCUGUGCAUGGCACUCUUGCAGAAUUCUCCCAUGCCCAUUGCAUCAUCAUUCAAAAAACCAACCUGCAAACAUUAGGCUGUCUAAACUCAACAUCAAAAUUUUACUUGUGAGAAUUGCGAGUCCUACAUUAAUGUAUUAGGCAGUAUUAUGUUAGAAUCUAUUUCUGUCAUUUGUUCCGGUCUAUGCUGGCAUGGAAAGUGCAAACCUCUUGUAAAAAUUUUUCAUUCUGUCAUCGUAAGGAAGAAUAAAUAAAUUCGUGCUGUAAUAAAUAAAUAAAUAGAUAAAAAGGAAGAAUAUCGGUUCCCUGUCAUGGUUGUCUUCUGCCCCAACAAAUUCAAUCGGAUGCGUCUCCAUUCACCUGUUUUAAUUGGCUUCGGAGGCUCGUAGCUAAUUCUUGUGUACUUUUAUGCAUGGGAUCGAUGGUGGAGGAUGAAGCACCCACCACAUGUGAGCUACCAUUACUUUAUGAAUUGUGUUUCCGGUAAAUUGCAAUCUUUAACUUCACCAAGUUUGAAAAUUUUGUAUAAAUGGCCGCCGUGCUUUCGAGGGGUCAUGCUUUUGUUUGGUAAUAAGCAUGUUGGUCCAAAGUUAAACAUGGGGGUUCAACAUGUAAUUAAUUAAGGUUUGAAAUCAGCCACCGCAUAUCCAGGUCAAAAAGUUGCUAUUUAUUUGUCUGAUACGCCAUCUAAUCGUGCUUUUGGCUUUGGAGCCUUGGGUGAUGGGGAUGAAAAGUUAGGAUUAGACACCAUUGUCGACCCUUAAUUAAUGGGUGUCAAAAAAGCAGCCAGCGGAAGCCAAGAAGGCAUCAUCUCUCGGAAUGUCAAUGAAAUUUUACGAAUCAAAGUCAAACCCAUUAUCAUUGAUUGUUACUCCAAUUUUAUAUCCUACCAUGAAUGAAUUUGAUGCUGUUCUGUCAUCAAAUUAACAAAUAGCCCACAAAAAAAAGAAAGAAAGAAAAAGCAGGUAGGUAAAGAUCCCUCAGUUGGAAUAAUAUAAUUAUGCUUGUAAAGAUGAUUGAUUGCAUGACGUUCCUUGAAUAAUCAUAUUUACGUGUAUACACCGUCAGCGUCAGCGUUGGAUGAAUAACAAUUAUGCAAAAUUUGAAUUUUUUGAAAUUCAACUUUUACACAUAUCAUGAAUCAUGCGAUAAUAGUAUAUACACAUUAUAUAUAAGAUUUACUAUAAAAAAAAAAAAAGGAGGGGUGGGGGGGGGGGGGAGGGGAUUGAUUUCGCAGUCACGGAGAAUUAAAGUGGUUGAUUCCAUCCAUGAAGGGGUUUGAGUGAAGUUCCCAACAUAGUGAGUGGCAUUAACGUUGUGGCACUUUCGCAUGAAAGAGGAAGAGGUGGCCUUGGUUAAGAAUUCACGUGUCUUCCUGGAUAAAGAUCUCUAACAACAAGUGGUAGUUGCAUUGCUAAUAGCGACAGCACUAUUCUGUUGAUCCGGCAUUUCGGGACGGAAUCAUUGCUUCUUCUUUGGUUGUUUCUCUUUCUCUCCAAGUGUUGUUUUUUUUUUCUUUAACCGAAAGGAACGUAUGAUACUCUCAGCAAGUAAGUUCUUAUUCUACAUGUGUGGUGGGCGACACACUUGAAUAUUCUGGGUGAAGUACGUAUUCUAUUUUAUUCCGGCCCCCAUCUAUUUAGUUUUCGUCGGAUUUUUUUUUUUUUUUUGAAUGCGAAUAGAUUUAUACUUCUUCUGAAAAAGCCUGCCUCCCAUUUAUAUAUGAUCAAUAAUGAAUAAACUUCUUCGUCCGUACGUAAUGGAACCCCUUUUGGUUUGCAAUUCAUUGUUGAAGAAGAAGGGAACUCUUCUGGGGUGGGGUGGGUCGAAGCAUUAAUGUACGACGGCCUUCUCCGCCCCUUGAUUAUUUAGGCAUACAAUUUUAGACAUAUAUUGAUUGAUUCGUGGACAAAAAGCUUCACCCAUUAUUUGUCCGUACAUUGGCCUCUUUCCCCAAUUAUUUUCUCAGUAAAGGUCAUCAUUGGUACUCAUAUGAAGAAGUUUUCUCCCAUUGCAUUGCUGCAUCAAAAUUUAAUCACAUGUGAUCUGUCUCUUUGUAGAAUUGUUUGGUAAUGCAUUAAUUUCCAACUUCUUCUUCAUACAGCUCAUCAUCAGAUUAGAUGAACUAUAAAUGAUUCACCAAUAAUGCGACCGUGCACGAUCCACGCUCUUAUUGGCCAAUAUGUAUUAAUGUAAAGUACUGUUAGGAGGAGGCAAAACUUGGCGUGAUUUUAUGGUUGCUCUAACUCCUCGAAUUAAAAGGUGCUGCAACAAUCAAACAUAUUAGUACAUAUCUUACAAUUAUCUUUCCCUUAUUCGAGUACGUGUAUUGCAUGCAAGAAAUCAUUGCGCACUUACUGGAUAGGAUAUGGGGCCUCUCCUCUCAAGAUGAAUUCGAGUUUUCUUACUUAUUUAUACCCCUUCCUUUGAGCCAUCUAAUUCAUCCCUCUCCCAAACGUUAAGUGUGAGCUCGUCAACUCGUUUAACUGAGUUAGUGUAAAAAUUACGACUACGUAAAAUUGUAUGAACUUAUGCCAAAAGUUAUAAAAAGACAGAAAUCAACUAGAAGGGCCCCAAAUCUGGCUGGACGCAACAUCCAAUCUCUUUUUCCUCCUCCUCCUGCUCCAGAAAAAUGCUGCUGAUAUGUAACAAUUGUACAUUUCCCCCCCCCCCCUACUUUAUUUCGCUGUAGUCAGUUUGAAAGGUUGAAAGGUUUUUGUAGGAUCCGGGGCUUUUCAAGUUGGAAGUGUUGUCCAAUUCUAUCCGGUCAUAUUAUUGUCACAUCCUCUGGUGUAAGCAGGUUCAACUCAUGCAACUAAGAUAGGGUAGAAAUUACAAUUACACCAAAAUUGUAUGAAUGCAUGUCAAAUGUUAUAAAAAUUCUAAUAACCGGACCGAAUUGGAUACAACUCGAUUUGAGAGGCACUCGUCCAGUUUUGUAUGCUUUUCUUCAGAAAUAUGUCGCAACCUCAAGUCAUAUUGUCCCCAGAAAGCAGCCAAUUCAGGGCCGCCGUCAAUUUCUGCUGAAGGCUAAUUAAUGCCCUUUAUGUGCUUAGUUAUGUUGCUGGAUUUAUUAAUGCAAAACUACGAUGAACUCCAUUAGACUCAUAAACACAAUGUUAAAGUAACACGACCGAACAAGCCGAGACUGAACAUCAUCAGAGAGAGAGGGAGAGAGAGAGAAGCAUUGAGAAACAAAACUACAUGCAUGGACUGACAAGACGAGAGAAACAGAAAGAGAAAUCAGGCCAAACGUGAAUCUUUCUUUUCCAUCUUCUUGACUUCUUGAAAAUGUUGCUACUCUUACUACUGCCCUAUAUGCGGAAUACAAAAAACAAGUCUGUUGACAUUAGGACAUUUUAGAGAAAUCAUUUGCAGCAUCCGAAGAUCACAAUUAGGGGAAAAAGUGUCCAGAAGUCUAAAAUAUGCUGAACCUGAUGUUACAGAAACUGCACAGUAGGUUUUUAUAAUUAGCAUUUGAUGGAGAUUCAACAAUGCUCAUUAUCCAUUCAUGCUUUCGAUUCAACACCUGUGCCAAACAAAGAACAUUUGAUGACCAGUAGUCUAGAUGGCUGGAGUUAACUUGCCAUUUCUGUUCGUCGAUAAUGGGGCAUAAGGACAGACUUAUGCCAUAGCUCCUUGCACCAAGUGAUUGAAUUUAUUAAAGUAUUACAUCAUUGAUGUGGAUUCGUAGCUGGAUUUUGUAUGCCAUGGGGAAUGUGGGACAUACACUUUUAGAUUUGUUGCAAAAAAGCCAAUCGGUAAUAAAACUUCGACCUGAAAUAGAUAAGCCAAUGAGGAUUCUAUGGCACCCUUAAAACGUAAUCUCUUGAUUGGCUUAGAAAGCCGUUUGCCUGAAUAAAGCUCGAAACUUUGUCAGCAAAUUGUAACCAAACAACCACUUAACCAUUUAGAUGCAGAUUACCUUCUCAUUCUAGUUGGCACCUAGAAAGGAUGGUCUACAUGGUCUAAUAAGAAACUCUGAUGUUGGCCAAGUUUUUCAAAGAACGCGGCAUUGUAAGUCUGUGCUCUCUGGAAAGGUAUAUGAUUUUGAUUCAUGUUCUUAAUUUAAAUUUGCUAACAAGUUAUAUCAUAGAAUCUUCCUCUCAUAUUGAAACCAUUUUCAAGAUGUUUUUCAUGAAAUGGACAUGAAAGAGCAUUGUACAUACACAUGCUACGGCUAUACUACGUUUUAGUUGUAGAGAACCAGUCCUUCCCCGCUCUCAGGUCCUUGCUUUGAGUACUUUCUAAGCCACUAUUGGUGAACUAACUAGUUUGAGCAACUAGCUUUUAGAGUAAACUUGCUAAUUAGUUUUGGUUAUAAGUGAAGAAUGGUUUUAAAGUUCUAUGUUAUAGUUUGAUCCUUUAGGCUUUGACCUAUGCAGUUUUGGUCCGUUUUGAUCGAGUUUCUCUUGAUAUGAUUGUGGAAAACUCACUCCGAGCAGUGUUUUUGUUAGUUGUUACCAAUCAAAACAGUAGAAACCACAGUCCAAUGGCUUCAUAAGACAGCUACCUUCGUAUCACCUUGUCAGUCAUUCAUGGAAGGUAUCACAAUGUCUCCUCCUUGGGAACUUACUUUGCAAGUAAAUUAAGUUCCUUAAAGAAAGGUAUACAGCAAAACAAUCUUGGGCCUCAUUGUUAAUACGCAUGGCAAAAGUUAUGCGCCAUGUGUGUGAGGAAAUAGGAAUAUGCAGCUACUCGCUCUUGUACAUCUCCCCUAACUUAAUCGGCCUUCCAUGGGGUUGCAUCACAUCAUACCUAGUAGUUAGGGAAGGGCUUCGUAGAUUAGCUCAAAAAGUCUAAUCAAGAAUUAAGAUGAUCGUCCUUGAGUUCGCACAUAGUUCUACGAAAACCACUGAAACCUAUGGCAUAUAUGAUAGAUUGAAGGGAAUGGACAAUGAAUCUAAUUUGUUGCUAUGUAGGACAUGAGUUCUGAUUUGUAUCAUUCAUCCAUGAUUUAAUGGACUUUCAGAAACAAAAAUAAAUUAAAAAGAAAAAAGAAGAAGGACCUGCAACACUCCAGUCCCCAAUUCACAACAGAAGACGUUGAUAUCCUGCUAUCUAUGCCCUAUACGCUUCGUAAUGCGAGAGUAUUGCGAGUUAAUGAGGUUUGGAUUUUUCUUUAUAGAUGGGAAGAUGAAGCCUUGAGCUAGCAAACUUGCAGACGGACCUAUCUAGUUUCCCAACAAGGUGGUUGGUUAUGUGCUAUGCGAACUGGGAAUUGGUCCUUGGGCCGGAGCCAGGUUCACAGGGUAAAUUAACUCAAACUGAUUAAAAUAAAAAAUUAACUAGAAAAUGACAUUAAUUAUAGACGUACUUGAUUAUGAAUUGCUCGUCACUCUGGCAUUUCAACCAAACCAAUAACUGGAAAUAGAAACUGAAAAGUGAUUGGUCUGACUGACUUGAGGAAGGAAAAAAACUAUAUAUAUAAUAAAAAAAAAAAAAAAACAACUAGCCCAAGGCAGAGAUGCUGGCUAAUUUUCAUUAGCUCCUCAGGACUGAUCAUCUGAUGACUUUGCUUCUCCAACUGCCUCAGUAAACUCUUGCCCACUCCCCUAGUACUGCAACACCAAAUCAGUACUAGUGAUAACCUGACCCCCUCAACGCAAACACUCGAGUCACAGCUCCUGGCAUCUUCAGCCAGACAAAUCUUAAAAAUAGUAGAGGAGCAGGCAACUCUACCUCCACGGCAUUCAUGGGUUUUAUGAAUGUCAAAUCUAUUUUAGACUUGGUACAGGACAGCCAUGCCCCAAUGUCUGGUCUAUUUUAAGUAAUCUUAACAGACCUACCCAUCAACCACCAAUCAAAACUGCUGCUUUGCUUGCCAAACCGCAUCUAGAUAUUUCAGCUACCCGUGACAGGUCUAAUCGCAUCCUUAAAUUCUCACUUCUGAGCAGUAGUAUGUUUUUAUGCACCAUUUUCUAAUUUCUGUUCUCUUACUUUUAAUUCCUAUUCCCAUCGUUGUUGAUCGUGGUUAAUGCAAAAUUUCAACAAUUUCCAAGAAGAAUCAGACUCUGAUGGAGCUUAAAAAUCUAGGGACUAAUAAUGGUGCACUGAUGAGAUGAGAAGGAUGAGCCGGGCAAAUUGCUGCCUGAAGAUUGUUUCAGAGAAUUUUAGGCCAAAAAAAAAAAAAAGGAGAGAGUUCCCUAGAUGAUGAGAUCAUAUAUGUCAUUGGACUAGUUGUAACAUAGACGGGAAAUUUGAUAUAAUCCCAGAAGGAUAUGCUGCCACUCUGAAAAAAAUGCAUUGAAAACUCCUAAUAACUAUUACUGAUGCACUAUAUCAGUUCAACCACCAAGCAUUAGUGAACACUAGUACUGACAUAUUUUAACUUCCAAGAUUGCACAAGUUUGAGGGGUCUGUUUAAUGUAGUAAAGUAGUAGUCGACGAGUCGUAGGGUAUUAAUCAAGGAAGGCGAGAAUCCAUAUGUGUCUCUGCGUGUGCAUGUACUGAACUGCUACUGUGUGAGUGUGUGUAGAGAGAGAGAGAGAGAGAGGUGAGGGUGGUAAAAAAAUUUUUUUUGAAUUUUCAGAAAAUGACAAAGUUUAACCUUUUUUCACGGAAACGCAUGAGAUGAUGGGGAAGCAAGAAAACAAAGGGCAAACAAGAUGAACUACCAAUUAUUGAUGAGAAAAAGAGGAAAGGCAGGGAAUCUUCUCUGCAACAUCUUUCAGUUUUCACCACUUCGAUUAUACUUUUGUAACUUAAACUUGCUAGCAUAGAUAACUAAACUACCUCUUGAAAUAAUAAUGAGAAAUCAAACAAAACAUUGCGCCGCAUUAACAGGCAAUUCAAGAAAAAAAAAAGUGAUCAGAGUUUCACGGGAGAAGUUUUACACGGCCAUGCAGGGUUUUGUAACAGCGGUAAAAAAAAAAAAAAGAAAGAAAAGAAAGGGUAAGAAGUCAUGGAAACUGGGUGGUCUUGACUUUCGUCUAAUAUUCCUCCAAUUGUGGCAUGAACUUUGAAAUAUGCAUAUAACGAGCAAUUCUAACUAUUUUAAGACAAGGGACGUUUACCUAAACCGAGAAGGAAGAAUUCACGCCAAUCGUGGAGCAGAAUUUGGUGGAUUUGCCGGGUUCAUCGUCAACGGUAGCUACAGAUGUUAAAAUAAAAUGAUAAUGGUAACUAGCAUGCUGUAGACAUCGCGUCAAGAAAGGACAUUGAAUUUUGAGGGAGAGUAAGUAGUAUACAAUUAUGAGAAAAUUACCGCGCGGCCUGCAGCCUGCAGAGACAAUAUCUGAAACAACCAAAACCAGCUGUGCUGCAUCCUGCAGGUGCAGGCAGGCAAUUCUGUGCACAAUUGGGGUAAAACGGGUGAAGUCCUGAGUGGCCAUGUCUUCCCACAGCUUUCUUGAACUUCAUUGCUUGAUGAAAAAAAUCCCAGAAGACAAAGAGAGAGAGAUGGGUGGAUGGAUGGAUGGAUCAAAUUCAGGCUGAAGUUCAAGAAAGCUGUGGAAAAGCAUGACAGGACUUGUAAAAUUCAUGAUCAAAGUCUGCAGUUCUUAGAUCUCAUACAGAUAAAGACUCUGAAUUCCCAAAGGGAUGUCGUUGAUAUAAGCAAUAAAUUCAGAGGGAGAAGGAGAGGGAGAGGGAGAGGGAAGAGAGUUGAGAGUAAAGGAAGAGGAGUGUGAAGAAGUGAAGGCAUGCCCAUACAUAUUCCUCAUGGACCACACUAGCAUAUGUAAUCUGUGGAACCCCAGCUUUAUAGAGACGGAAGGGGAGGGGGAUAGUAGGGUUCUCCUCACUCACUCACUAUUGCUAAAUCUUGCCCACACAUUGCCCUCCGCUUUUACUUGUGUCUAGUGCUUAGUUGUGGUGGGGCAGCUACUCCAACGUUAUAACCCAAAAUUAAAUUGUUCAACUGCAGCUCAUGUAUCGAAUUUUAUUUUACAUUCAAUCCCUCCUAUGUGAUAAUCCACUUCAGCAUUUAAAAUUAAUGGAUUCAAAUCAUUUGAUAAUAAAAAAUUAAACAUCUGAAUUAAUUAACUGAUCACACUGAAUUUUCUAAUUAGCAAAACUUACUUCCAAAAUUAAGUGACAAGAUAUUCACUUAUCACUGAACGUGACAUGCAUUCAAAUGUAUUAGAUUUAAUAUUUAAUAAUUCAAUAAUUUAAUGAAUUCAGAUAAGCGCACCCUAACUCCAUUGGUUCUUGAGGAUAAAUUUCAUACUUUUAAUACGCUUUUUCCAAUUUCGUGGGUCUUACGAAAUAAAGAGGUGGGCACGCACGCCAUCAAAUUCAAACAUUAGCAUCUACAUUUCAAUUGCGUGAACUUGGGAUUUUAGCGUAUGAAAUUUUAAACUUUUAUGGCCAGUCGGACGGUAGGUUCACCUCUUAUUACGUGUUAAUCUAAGAACACAGAUACAAUGGAAUAGAAUAAAUUCAUUUUAAUCUACGAAAUGAUGAGACUCUUAUACCUUAAGAUUUAAUUGGAAAAUUAGAGUAGGGUUAGAUGUUGAUGGAAUGAAAAGAAAGAGGGGUAGUAAUAUAAUAUGAUAAGACCCCAUCCCCGUCACAUGCCAGCCAUGUGGGCAUGAUCUUAUACAAAUUUAUUGGGAAUAAAAGGGAUGGGGUGCUUAUGGUCCCCCUAGUUCGAUGUUUCUUCCAAACAUCAUAUAUCCAUCUUCUCACUAAUAUACAUUAUCUUCCGAAAAAUACAUUAUAUUCUCACUAAUAUACAUUAUUAUUAUCUUCCAAAAAAUAAAUAACUGUCAACCCUAAAGAGACGAAUAUUUAUUUAGAUCCUACUACAAUGCAACUGUGACCAUUCUGGAAUACUGGGGAUCCUCAUUCAUGCAUGUGCAUGAUUUUUCUCUUUACCCAACUUACCCAUGCAAGACUCAGUCCCAUGGAUAAAUUUGUUUUUCCUUCUGAAUACCGGGAGUUACGAUUUUAUACCAUUUGAUUGGCCAAUGAUAUUCUGUCGCCAGAAUGUGUGUUUCAGCUGAAACUGCAAUCAUUUUUUCUUUUAAAAUAAACUAUAGACCGGUACAGUUUAUAUGCCAAUCAAUUUAUAUCUCUAUUCAGACGCGCGCGCAUCACAAAAAGAAAGCCGGUGUCCAUAGCAUUCUUUGAAAAAAAAAAAAAAAAAACCCUCGUGAGCGUUUUGUCAAAAUUUAUUUACUUACGUUAUCAGCAUAUUUUUCAACCAAUUUUUUAUAUCUCACAUAUAUCGUAUCAAAAAAUUGUUACAGUAUUUUUAAAAAAAAAAUUAUUUCAAAUAAUCUACUAUCCAAACACACUAUCAGUUAGCAUAUAUAAUAAUUGGACUCCUUCCUUACAAUUAAAAGUAAUGUUUGCUUUUCACCUUUUGUCCUUUCCACUCCAAAACAAUUUUUUUUAAAAAAGAAAAGAAAAUCAUCUUAAUGCCUUUUUUUCUAAUUUCUUUGUUUCUUUUGUUGGGUACGUAAUACUGUUAAAAGGAUACUACUGCUGACAAGGCCGUAGUAGUUAAAGUUACAAUCCUCAAAAUUAAAAGUCUUGAAUUGAAAUUUUACUAAAUUAAUGUUACUUUUGUUAUAUUUCGUGUUGUUGAGUCCAUUUAAGGACGAACCCCAUAAGGGGAGCGGAAGGGGAACCCUCAAAGUCCUUGAAAUUAUAUAUUUUUCUCGUAAAAUUUUCAAAAAUUUCAUUGAUAAAAUAAACUUUUCCCAGCAAAAUUCUCAGCAUCCUUUGAAGUAUUUACGUGUAUGAAAGUCGCUCUCCCAAAGCAUAUUUUUGUAAUUCUAUCCCUGGUCACACUUUCUCACUUGGGAUCCUCAGUGCCAACUUCUAUGUUUAUGUCAUGUGUUAUAUUAUUUAAAUUAUCAUGUGCUAUUUAUUUAAGUUUUCUUUACCACUAGAUUUGGCAUACAAUGUGAGCCCCCUAUAAUCAUGUAAAAAGUAAAUUGAAAAAAUAAUAGUAAUAGCAAAUAGAGGAGGCAUGCGUGGGGAAAAUAUAUAAUAAUUACUACUAAUCAAGAGAGCCUAAACUAGCGAGCUCACUGCUGAAAAAUUACUCCAUAAAAGAGAUUCAAAAAUAAUUGACGCGCCCGUAUUUGUUGCUGUUGAGGGUGGCCCACCUGAUGUUAGUUGGUGGAUGGCGGGAUCCACCUAAGCCACCGGAUUGAUAUUUAAAGAAAAGGCUUUCACUCCCAAUGGUCAGGUCCACCUCAUCACCAUCACCCGUGUCUCUGAUUAUUUUAGAUUUUUCUUACCGCUACUUUUCUCUUUCUCUUGUUGUUUUGUUGUUUUCCAGUUUUCCUUCGACCCACCCAACUUGGAUUAUGUAAUGUAACGCAAGGCAACCAAAAUGUAGUAUUCAUCUUUUUGUCCCUUAGAAUUUUCUACCACUAUUUGAACCGUCUUGAUUCUCUUGAGCUAGUUGCAACAUUAAUUCAAAUGGUCUUCGUUGUAACAUAUUCAUAAGACGCACAACAUUAACAUCAAUCAUAUUACUAUCGGGGCAAAUUCAUAUGACAUUGUGUUAGCAUCAUGCCACUAAUAAUUGUAGUUGUUGGGAUUCAAAAAUUUGCUUUUAUCGUCCACUUUAGAUUCCUUCACAAGUUCAAGUUGAAGUAUAAUUCACUAGGGAUGACAUUAUCUCCUUUUUUUUUUGUUUAAUUUUCCUCCUUCGCCUUCCUUGUUAAUAAAAAAAAUGAUGCCAAAACUAUAUAUAUAUGGCUCAGUUUGGAUCAACUAUUUUUUGGGAUAUUUUUAAAAAAAUUUACUGUAACAGUGUAUAAGAAAAACUUUUACUAUAAAUAUUUUUUGAAAUAUUUGAUAUAUUGUAUGAAUUAGGUGUUUUUAAGUCAUUUUUAUUUUGUAUUACUGUAGCAUUAUAUUUGAAAAACUUAUUUUUGAAAAAAUUACCAACCCAAAUGGACGGAUAGUUGGUGAUAUAAGAGUUCAAACACCAUCACUAACCACAAUUGAAAUCAAUUGAACAUAUUGAAAGAUAAUUCAAUUAUGUGUAGUUGAGAAGAGGGUAUAUUUUUGGUGCAUUCAUGAUUCAACAACAAGCUUCAAAUAGGUAUGGAAGGGCAUGUUCUCCCUUGAUGUUACGAAACCGUAAUAGAAUAAGAAUUAACUUAGAAAAAAAAAACUAUGAAAACAACUGAAGAUUAUUAAAUUGGUCAUAGUGCAAGGUCGUUUUAUCUGAAGUAUAUUUUAAUCGAGCUUUAACGGGACUAAGCCAACCCUAUAUUAAAAGUUGUACUGCGUCAUCUUGGACGGACUAUAGCCUUUUGCAAGAAGUGGUAUUUCAUGAUUUUUACUUUACCUAUGAUGAUACGAUACGCCCAUGUAACUACCAGUAACGUCUUGUCCCUGGGGCAAAAUCCUCACAUUGCCUCAACGUUACAUGUCGUCCUCUCACAUCUAUGAACGCUCUCUCUUGCCCUGGCUUCAAAAUGGUAAAUCUAAAGGCGUUCCAUUUUCACUCGAUGUUACUUACUCUUUUUUGUUUUUUUGUUUUUUUUUAAUCUGAAGACUAUCUUCUGAUUUAAGCAUCGGAGUGGUUGCAAGACUCGAUCCAUUCCCUCAUUCUGCUUCUUCUCGAUGUGCAGAAUUAUGUGAAAGUUUGAACUCAAGUAUCGACCCUCAACAACCUGAUCACAUUUCCUCGUCACAUGAACUAAAAUGAGAACAUCAAGAGAUGUUGUUCCCUUAGUAUUUUCAAGACAAACUUAAUGAUGAUUGGAAAAUUAGUUUUUUCUUCUCUCUAUUCCUUUUUUUUUUUUUUUGGUCUGGUUGGUUUUAUUGUCAAAUCUCAAAUUUUCAUGUCACAACGGUAUUUGAAGAAAUAUCAAGAUUAACCUUCUAUUGUCAAACCAAAUACUAUCAGAAUUUGAGUUUUAUUGGAGUAUUAUUGAGUAUGUUCAAUAGAAGAUUAUUAGAAAAAAAUUUUAAAUAAUAUUACAGUAUUUUUUUUGUGAGAUGUGAUCUACAUGAGAUUAAAAAAAUUGGUUAAAAAAUAGAAGGAUGACCAAAAAUAUGUUAUACAAUCAAUAAAAUUUUAAAAAUAAUUGCUUGCCAAAUUUUCUCGCAAAAAACUUAGGAAAAUUUAUGUAAAAUAUCCAUCAUAUUUCAUCAAAUGAAUUUUUUGGUCUUUCAUUAAAAAAUAAAAUUUUUCAUUCUUCACUUUUAAAAUGUUAAAUAUACGUCAUUUAUAAAUUCAAGUUAGUAAAUUUUGGUCAUAACAUAAGUUUCUAGCUAUUUUUUAGUUUGAAAUUAACAUGUGACCCAGAUGUAAUCAUUUUUUAUGUAUAAAAAGGUCAAAUGCCACUUUUUUAGUAGGAAAAUGAAUAUAAAUUGGUUCAAUUCACAUAAUUUUAGGAUAAAAAUGAAUAUGAUUCAAUCAAAUUCUACAUUUAUAGAGGUAAAAAUGAAUAUGGAUCAUAUUAUUUAUUUAACUACAAAUAGGAUAUAACUUUUUUGUCCCUAAAAAAAGACCAUAUAUAAGUCAUCAAUUCAGAGGUAAAAAAGUGAUCUAAAACUUAUGUUAGGAAUAAAUUUUAUCAACUUGAUUUUGCAAGAAAUAUAAAAUUAUCAUUUUAGAGAUAAAUUAUCAAAAAAUUUAUUUUGAUAAAAUAUAAUAAACGUUUUGAACGAUUUUUCCCUAGACCUUGGAACUACAUUUGCAAACUUGAUAAGACUCCUUCUCCAUAGGCGAAUUGGCCUUGUCAAAAAAAAAAAAAAAACAAAGAAUUGGCCUUGUCGUUGUCACGGUGUGUUGUGAUUUCACGUGGUGUUCAGAUCAGCCCGCCGGCGCACAUUUUGCGUUUUCAUCCUCCCAUAUAUUACCGUACAAACGGCCCACUUUUGUUUUUGUACUCCUUUAUGCAAAGUUUGAUUGCACGGCACAUCGGAAUCGGAAUUUAAAAGUUAAAAGUAGGGUUGUACGUGUCAUCCAACCGUCCUUUUGCCACCCACGGUGAAAAGGUUAAAAUUUCAUCAUGCAUUGAGAGGUGGAAAAAAAAAAAAGGAAAAUGUAACUGAGUAACUUCAUCGCCUGCGCUUGAAAAUUCAACCAUCACCCGGGCUACAUUUGUUCAAGGAUGAUCGACUGGCAGAGAUGUUCGACUGAAGCAUAUUUUUUGUCGUUUUUAAUUGUAUCACUAAUUUCUCUUAAUUUAGUCAAGUAAGUAGUCCUACUACAUAUUGAGCCAAUUAAUUGUCGACGGUUAAGGCAAGGCUCGUACUUGAUAGUAAAAUAGUCAUGUCGUUUGGUUGUAUCUAUAUCCUGAUGCUGUGAUUGUCGGUUAUCUUGUUUGUCAAAAGUAAAGGACUAUUGCUGACAAACAAAAGAAAGCGGAUAAAAGAAAAUCGUCUACACUUUUAACAAGGUAAAUUCAGCUUGGGCGGGAACCGGGAAAGAUGGAGAAUUAACAAGUGUAAUUUUGCGGAAUGGUUAAAAAGAAACUAGAAUAAUGGUAGAACGGAAUAAAACAGAUAAAUACUGGGUCCAUACUAGCUAGGGCAAAUCUUACCACAUCGUGCCGGACAAAAGACAUGCAAAAAGGAAGUCAGCAUUACAUAUAUAUAUAUAUGUAUAUGUAUAUAUAUGUUAAUGGAAUUACAUGAGGUAAAUUAAAAGGGACCACCACCAGUGUAAUGUAAUACUACGAGACCAUAGAGUAGAGACAGAUCCAGAGCUCAUUUUGUGUUGCGCGCCUUUUUAUUUUUUUCCAAAUUUAAGCUACAAAGCUUUAGCGUAAAAGUACCACGGUAAAGCUGCCAACUAUAGCCAUUUGUUUCUCUUUCAUUGAAUUUUCUUUUUCCCAAGGAAAUCCCCUAUCCUAAAUUUGUCGGCCUUUUCACAUCUUUUCCUUGCAAAACUGUAAAAGUACUAUUCAAUAGAUUUAAAGAGAAAUUGCAGAAAUGUGACCUGGUGCAACGCAUGACCAUUUUAGUAGAAUCUAUAUCUAUAUGUAUUAGAGGGCAAAUUUUUUAUGAGGAACUUUCACAAACGUCAAAAAUAUGAAUCCCUUUUUAUUAUAAUUUUAGAUUUAUUUUAAUUCAAUAAUUCUUAUUGCUUCUCCUUAUCUCUUUUCAUUUUUCAAUUUGCAUGACUCACUAGCCCACAAAAUUAAAACUCCAAAAUUUUAACUAAUGGAUAAUAAUCACCCCUGCAAAAUCACAUCUCUAAAUCCCAAAUUUACUACUAACACUUACCACACGACUAAUAGUAUAAUAACUAACUAAUAAUUUAAGAAACUCAUCACUACGAAAAUCACAUAUCUAAAAUUUAGGAACCUGUUUGAAUUACAAUUCCCACAAUUUUACGUAUGUUAUUGUUAUAACGUAUUUUACUCUCAUAAUCAUUCACAAAACUAAUGAUCGCUAACCUAUUUCCAUUUAUCAUCCACACAAACCAAAUAUAGUGAGAAAAAAAUUAUGACAUACUCUCACCAUGGACGAAUCUCACCUACAAGCAUUUCAAUCAGUAACGGAACUAGGAUUUUUUUUUUCUAGGGGGCCAAAAAAAUUUUCCUAACAAAAUUAUCUUAAUAUGUUAUGUUCAAAAUAAUUUUCAUCAAUUUAAAUACAUGACAUAUAAAAACAUCAAAUAUUAACUUUAAUUAUAAAGGCAUGAAAAGAUAAAUAACUUUUUUUGAAGAAAAAAUUUAAUUCAAAGAUGGUUAAUUCAUAUAUAUAUAUAUAUAUAUAUAUAAACUCUCAUAAUAUAAACUAAAAUUAUAGAAAAAAUAGGGGGGAGUAAUUUUGUUUUACACAUUAUGAAUUGAAAUUUUUAAAAUUUGAGGGGCCAUCAGUCCCUCUUGGCUCCGUCAUUGAUUUUAAUGGCGCCUCAAUUUCAAACUUGCAAAAUUGCAGAAAAGAAAACAAUUGAUCACACGAACCCUACACCACAGUGAUCUCACUGAAAUAUCUCAAAAGGUUAAAUAAGUUCACUUCCAAAAAAGACAAGUCUCACUCAACAUUCUUUUGUAAUACAAACUCUACAAUAUUCAAUAGGAUCAAUUAAAUUACCAAUGUUGGCUUUCGUACUAGCGUUGAUUGGUGUGAAAAAUGUUCGCACUUUCGUACAAGAUUAUCAAAUCAAAUGCAUAAUGUUUGUAAGGAUUUUAUUUUGAAAUCAAAUAAAGCAUGCGAUUACAUUCAUUCUAUCUAUACAUCAUUCAUUUUCUAAUACAAAUUUCUAUUAUUAUUUCAAUAACUAUCUUUUGUGAAAACGCAAUUCUUAAAUGGUGUACACAUUUUAUCAUACUUUGAAUGAUUACUAGAGAAAUCUUAGAUUUUAAGUAUGUCAGUACAAUUUUUUUUUUUUACUUUUUUUAAUUCAUCUCCUCUUUUAAUUUCGUUCAAUAACAUCAGCACCGUGCAGAACACGGGUAUUCACAUUAGUGACCAGUAUUGGAAGAUAAAUUGCUUGAAUUGAAUGAUGCGUCAACCUUUAGAUGGUAAGAUAAUAUAAUAACAUUGUUUGGAUUGAGCAUUUUUUCUCCAAUUUUAUUUGCUUACAUCAUCAUUACAAUUUCCAAUACACCUUUUUAUCUUCCCAAUUACCUUUUUAUCUCACAUACAUCACAUCACAAAAAGUGUUACAGUAGAAAUAUCCCAAUUAACUUACAAUCCAAACAAACCAUUCUUGACACUUUUUAAUCUAUAAUAGUACGAACAUCAAUAAUUUAAAAUAGACCACUAUCGAAACAUGAAAAAAAUGAGGGAAUGAUUGUGUAAAGGUACUAUAGAAUUUUCUCAAAUGUAAAUGGGUAUGGUAUUAGAUAAGACAUUGAGAAAACUCGUUACAAAAGUCAGGUUAUUGAGUAAGAAGAUACCUAAAUUUUCUUGGAAUCGACUCAUUCAGUUUGCAGUUUUCACAAACAUCCAAACAAUUGACAAACAAAGGAAGGUAAGUAGGUAACGGUGGAAAUAAACAAAAAAAUGACCACAUACAGACAGAGUUGAAAGAGAGAACUGAUCCAAAAUUCCUAAUAGUAGUGUUGUGAUUUGCUAUCUUGAACCAGAAAUGGUUGCGAGCAGGCAAAGCAUGCGGGGGCUGUACAGCCAGCCGGUGGGAAUAGAAGGCGGUUUGGAUGGAAAUGGUCAGGGGGGAACGUGUGAGCUGAAGCACGCGUGUGGGGGAGUUUUAGAAAAGGACAAAAAUGGACAGAGGGAAUGAUAGGAUGUUUCUGUUACUACUUGUCAUCAUUUUCAUUUAUCGUGAUUUAAAAAAAAAAAUUUCUUUUUUUAAAAAGAGGGAAUGAUAGGAUGUCUCUGUUACUACUUGUCAUCAUUUUCAUUUAUGGUGAUUUUUUUUUUAAUUUUAACCAAAAAAAAAAAAAAAGAAGAAGAAGAACUACAGUAGUAUUAGUUUGUGGGUCCCGGUAAUUGUCAAUCACACGUGGGAGAGUUUCAUUUGCAUAUUCCACUGGGGCUUCAAUUGGCCGACUGUCCCGAGUAGUUGUAGUGGAGUAGAUGAUCGGCAUUGCAUGGUGGUGUUGUUGCCUUAUUGGUUGGUUCCUUGGAUCAGGAUUCCUAGAGUAGAGAUAGAUUUUGGUGUAGAAUCCAGUAUUAUUAACUCACGCUGCUGUGCUAUUAGGGUAAUAUGAACCACAUUACGAAUUUAAUUUUUGAACUAUUAAUGCUACGAUAUUUUAAUGGCAAUACUCCUGGGGAUCGAUGGGGUUGCUGUAUCUUAUUAAAAAGUGCUUUUCUAAUAGAGUUUUUUUUUUUUAUAUAUAUAUAGAAGUACUUAUUGAGUCUUAAAUUGAUUUUAAAUAUAUUGUUUAGAGACACAGUUUAACUACUACUUAUUAUAUUAGAUAAUGAAUUAUUUGAAAUUUUUUAAAAUGUAUUUAUCUUUUUAUUUAGUUCAUAGUAUAGCACAAAAUGAUUAAAUUUAAUAUUUUAUUUUUUAAAUCACAAAAACUAUUCUAAAAAGCACCAAAAUUGAGCUAUUACUAAAAGUGCUUUUAACACAAAAAAACUCCUCUCCUAAUCUUAUGGCAUGAUAAUCAUCAAAUAAAUUAAAAGCACUUUUAACACAUAAAAAUAUCUUUUCUUACCAAAAGUUUUACCACACUUACUUUGUUUUCAGGGCUUCAAGUAUCAAGUUAAAAAUUAGUGCUCGAGACAAAGUCCUAUGAGCAUGCUCGACCUAGGGGGAUACUUAUAACUCUAAAAUAAACCUACCAGAUUAAGAAAUAUGUGCUUAAAUUUAGGAGAUUAGGCAGGAUAGUUAAUUAUAAUCUGAAGAAAUCUAUCAAUUUAAACAUUCUUUUGUUAUAUUUGAAAUUUUUUUGACUUGAAUGAAAUGAUUUUUUUUUUUGGGGGUGGUUUUGUACUUGUUGCAAGUUAUGAAAAGUGAAAAUGGCAAAACAAACCAUUUUAAGCACAGCUGCUCUACAAAAAGGAUAAAACUUUUCAAAGAAACAAGUUUUGGUCUUAGUCAUUAAGGUCAUAACCAGGAAAUAUAUUAAUCAAAGCAAUAUUCCCAAUGCACAAGAAGAAUAACAUCAUCACCAAAAAGGUUCACUGCAGGAACAUGAAAUAUAUAAUGCAAAGUCAACUUUUUAGCCCAAAAAAGAAUUAAAACAAGAUAAAAUAGUAACCAAAAAAUAAGAUAAAACACAAGCCUCAACCGUAACUAUUUUCAUCCAAUACCCAAUUUUCACUUAAUAUAAGUGGACAUGUGAAAUAAAGGCGUUGAAAAUUGUUUGCAAUAGAAGCUGGAACAAUGCUUAGCAUUCAAGGGGACAGGGAAUCCUACAAAUUAUUUUUGUCUGUAUCGAAUAUACUAAUAGAGUAGUAGAUAAUUCAUGUUACAUAAUUCAAAUGACUUAAUUCUUACAUCAUCCUAUAAUAUGAUUAAAACAUUUUUUUUUUUUUUUGCUGAGAGGAUCAAGAGUGGUUACUCAUUUAUUCCCUUGAUGUUUCGAAUUCGCAACUUAUCAUUUACAGGUGAGUCGUCUUAUCAAUUAAGUCAUAUCAUAAAAAGCUAUAAUCAUGAUUGAGGAACCUCUUAUCUUUUGGAUUAGCAUUGCACUCUCUAAAUUUCUUUGCACGUGUUUUAAUUAACUUAAACAAGUAUAAAAAGUAUAUGCUUUUGACAGUUUUAUAGAUCUCAAUAUCCUAAAAUACAACCUAAAAUAGGAUAUCAUGAUCCAGAAAUGGAACACCAACUUUUGAAAAUCUUGCAUAUGCGCUGGCUGGCGUCAUCCAUCAAAAGAAUCACGCUGUACUAACAACGGGACGGAAAUGAUAAUUGCAAUUUGCAAGUGUCGUCUUCUUCGUUCCAUUGGGUCCAGAAGCAGAUGGGGUCGAUAGUCGGGCCGCGGAGUCCACUUUUUGCUAUAGUAGGAACAGUUGGGCCGUGCUAACAGUUGGAUCCUACUGCGACAGUGGCAGAACUGAAAAGUCCAGUCAAUACAACCCUUACAUGGAGAUGAUGGACCAUGAACUGCCAAGAUUGUCACCAGUAUAUUUAUCUCCCCCCACCACCUCCCAAAAAAAAAAAAAAAAAGAGGUAAAAAAUUACCGGGUUGAAUUAGGUAUCAAAUGAGAAAAAGAAAAAAAUCUUCAAUAUGAUAUUUGUCAAAAAUUUCUAUGCGUAUCCUUGAUCCAACAACGAUUGAAUUAAGGUCAGGAAAGGACAUUUUGGAAAUGAACCAAGAUUAGGUUUAGGGUUUAUCUUUUCAAAGUGGAGGAAGGGCGAGAUUUAAAAGGUGGGAGGGAGAAGGGAGAUUUUUGUACUCAGGACUCAUAAUUUCCGAGGCCUCUAAGGACCGUAUUAAAAAGGAUAAAAAUAUUUUCUUGAGUAGCACUGUAUGGGUGCUUUUGUAACCUUGGUGUUUGGGUUAUUUUCUUCGGAUAAAAAUUUGGAAAAUGAGACAAAAUGAUUGGGCUUUUAAUUUUGGGUACAAUCUGAUAAACUUUCCUGUUCGUACAGGGCACAGAGGGACACCCAAUCCCCACCCAUAUGUAAAUUGAGACAACCAUAUCUUUCGUGAACUUACUGCUCUUGUUUCGAAUUAUUGGUACUCUUUUUUUUUUUUUGUCGAAUUAUUGGUACUCUCUUCUUCUUUUUUUUUUUUCCCCUAAAUCUUUCACAAAAAUUGCCGUUUAAGAGGGUCGAAUUAUUGGUACCUACUAAAAUGGGCUCAGACUAGCCGAAGAAGCACCAAACUCUGCUUCUUAGGUGGCUUUCUUGUAUUUUCGUGUAAGGCCCAGCACGCAAUUGGUCCCCUCCCCUGGCCGGCCUAGUUGGUUUUCAAGUUCCGUGGUCUCGCCUUGGGUUUUCUAAGAAAUGCACCGUACUUUAAGAUCCUUUCUUGGUCACUUCGGGCUUGGAUUCUCUCAAACGUUUUAAGCAUUUUACUUCUUGGUCAAUUAAUAUUGAUGAAAAGAGUAAAAAAUCAAAAUCUUCCCUAGCUAUUACUACCAUUUUUUCCCCUUUUAUUUUUUUUUCUUUCGAGGUUGAGUGUACUAAAAUUUAAUCGUAGAGAGCCAUUUUGACAGGGUUCAUUGGAAAUCAAGUCUGAAUUCCCUUUCAAGUUUGCCCUACCGUUUCUGAUGGAGGCUAUAGCCCGAAGAUGAGUCAAUUUGAUACAAUCUGAGGAUAGUAAAGCCCGAAUCUCAUCAGGAGGAUCCGAUAAUAAUUUGAGCUCAAACUCAUCUUCUCUAGAACCUCUGCAUGGGAAACAAAAUUUCUCAUUAAAAUUGAAGAAUUCCAUUAUUGGGCCUUAAGUUUUUCCAAGACGACAAGUAAACACCACGGUGGGAAAAAUUGGGCUGGGCUCAUGCAGGUGGAGAGACCCACUCAUUGAGAAGUCCACUGACUCAAAUAAGAUUCGAAAAGAGAAAGAGAGCGAAAAUUGGGUACCCGACGGCCCAUUGUUGCUGCUUUGCAGACAACCAACAAAUUUGAUGCAGACAUAUGAUAUGAUAUCGCAAAAAUUCUCACCCUCACUUUUUUAUAUUUUGUAUUUAUUUAUCUGACACAGAGCAUCAUAUUAAUUAUCAUGAAGUGGUUAAUAAAAUCAUCUAAAUCAUAUGCAUAGUUGCCUAAUAAACCUUAACUAUCUGAUCCAACUAACGACGGUCCAUAAUCCAUUAUUUGAACUUUUUGAGAAGCAUCCCUUUUAAGUUUUAACACCAACCAUCGAAAAAGUUUGUUCUCGUAUAUAAUAUAGAGGCUUUGAUAAAAGGAACCUUAAUUUCCUAGUUCCUACCGACUCAACUGAAACUAGGCGCCCUUCACAGUGGAAUCACUUUUGCUAGCCGAAUCUCCCCUUUGGAGGGCCACAAACCAAGACACGUAGAAAUCCACCCUUCACAUAUGCAUUUCCAAAGCAAAGCAUCCGAUGCAAUGCCUUGCGCGGAUGAUCUUCUUGGGACAGUUAUCCUAUAGUCUAUAUGUGAGAUGCAUUGCAUUGCGUUGGAAUAUUAUUCAAGCUUUUUCACCACUGUACCUACCAAACAAAGCUAAUAUACAUAUUCAAGAAACUCAACAUCUUGGGUAUAGUCUGUAUAGAUAGGAAUACGGAAAAAAAAAAGAUAGGAUAAUAGUAAUACUGAUAGAAUUAGAAAGCUCACCCGCACCCGCAUAUCUUGUUGCAGCAGGAAGGUAGCUUGCUUGUUGCAGCUUUCAAGGUCCACAAAGUACUCCAUUUUCUACUGACUUGUGUUAAUCAAAUUGUUGGAGAACGAACUCAUUUAUUUAUUUAUGUUCAUGGACACAAGGAUUAAGGGCAACACAGUAGAGUAUGUCAAGGGGUUUCGAUUUCAGGUUGCACGACAAAGCAUUUUGUGUUGAAUAAUCAUCAAACCAAACGUGCAGCACAUUUUAGCACUGGUACGAGGUACACGCCUUCUGGAUGUUCAAUGGAGCUAGGCCCUGGGGUUACGUUAGCUUGAAAGAACACUUCUUCAUCUGAUCACCACAUGAUGAUUCCCAUGUUCUUGGAAAAACCUUGAUGUUAAGGCUUGAGGGUACAUAUAUAUAUAUAUAUAUAUAAAGGCCUUGCAUAUAUACGUAUAGAAGGCACAGUAAAACUUAAGGACUAGCUUCAAUUCAUUCACACCUCUCCUUCAUAAUUAAUCUGCACCCUAUUCUCUAUUGCAAGUUUGGAACUGCAAUUGCCGUUCACCUCCGUAAGCCUUGAUUGAUCUUUAUAUAUAUAUAUAUAUAUAUAUGUAUAUUAUCUCUUCCAAAUCGAAAAAUAUUUUUAUUUCAUGCUACAGGGAAGAAAAUGUGCUUGGCUAGAGAAUUUCUCUCCAUGUCAAAACCCAAACCUUCUCAUUUUCACUAAUAGUGCCUGUCUUUUAAUUAUUUUCCAUGUCAUCAUCUUUUUGCAUCUAAAUAUUGUAGAAAGUACUCGUAGAAUUUCUAUGCAUUUUAUUAAAUUAUUUUUCUAUGGUGUCAAAAGAUGAAUCCCAAAAUAAUUCUAUGAAAUACUGCUGUUUUCAUUCGGCCACUAUUGGCAAACAAUAUAUCAUUUCUUAAAUCAUUUGGUAUUUCCUGUUGAUUCUUUUGCUUUAUGACUAAUACACCUUUGAAGGUAACUUGCCUUUGACCCUUCAGAUUUAAAUUUUGCUUUGUCUUUUAUUCGUUUUCACGUGCAAUAUAUAUGUAUAUUUCUAGUACGAAACCUCUUAGUUGAAAGUAAUUUAACGCUUUCUCAUUGCCAUCUUCUUGGCUAUCUCUUUCUAUCUUGUAUUAUACUGUCUACAAAUAGGAUCAAUAUAAGUGGACAGUAUAUGCGUUUCUACUCAUGGGAAUCACAAAGCUCGGAUGUACAUUUUCCCUUUUGUUUUUAACGUGAUACAUAUUUUGGAAUUCCAAAAGGGGACAACAAAAGCUAGGCCAAGGGGGCAUUACUUAUUAGAGCCUGAUUGAAAUCUAAAAUCUGAAAUUCUUUGAAAAUUUAGAGCCUGAUUGAAAUCUGAAAUCUGAUUUAGAAGGCUUGUAUUUUUCUGAAUUUUUUGUAGAAAAAUUACUAUAGCGAUUUGAUAUAUGUGAGGUAAAAAAAUGAUUGAAAAAUAUGUUUACGAAAAACGUAGCAAUUUUUUUUUGAAAAUAUGCAAUCCAAACGCACCCUAGUCUCCACCCUAAAACUUUUCUUACUCUCACCUAAUAAUAUAUGCCCCCCUAUUGUGGCAAGGUCUUGUAAGGACUCAAUGGGGUUAAAAAGUGAAUAAUUUGCAGGCAAAUUGUCUCGAGGAGUGGUUUGGUCUACCAACAAACGACGACUAAUUACAUCUUGAACCAUAGCCUCUGCACAAUGAGAAAGUAGUACAGUCCAUGGUACACAAUAAUUAGCUCGAAGCAUCACACGUUAUAUGCGUGAAUUUUUAUAUUUUUAGUUUUUGUGUAACUGAUUAUUAUGUGUGUAUUAACUUCCGUAUUCUGUCGGAUCUUUGCCUUUUCAUUUCUGGUUGAAGAAACCACAUUUAAUGUAAAGUACGUAUUGGCUUCUGAUAAUUGUCAGCAUCACAGCAGACACAGGGCAUUAUAUAUACGGCUCUGUACGCAUCAAGAUUUAAUUUUCAGUUAAUACGGUUUCACGCGGUUUGUGGGAUCAUCAGAAAAAAAAGACUCAAAAGGUUCUCGCCACCGAAUGACGCGUAACUUGUUUAAUGCUCCAAUACUUAAAUCCAGAAUUUCCUCCAUGCCCAAAAUUCGCUUCUCCAACCGAGGCCAUAUCGUCUUCUUUUUGGUCUUCCUUCUUUCUCAUUUUUCUUCUUCUUCCGCCCGUCUUCUCUGUCAUACUAGUUCAACAAUACAGUAGUAUUUUCUUCUGUUGCAUCCAAAUUGAAGAAGAAACAGAAGAAGAAAGAAGAUGUGGACUGCUAUCUUGCUAUUAGUGCUUCUUUUCGUUGCUGGUUUGAUCAGUACAAACUUCAAUAGAAAGAUGUUUCUUGCAUGGUUUCAAUCUUAUUGUGCCAAAAUCAGAAACCCUUCUUCGCAUGCAGCAAACAGCUUUGACUUUUUGGAGACAAAGUCUGGCAAGAAAGUGGAUAAAAGAAGUGGUGCUGAUAACAAGAAGGUUCAGCUAAGAAGUAUUUUUGCUACUUUUGACAAGAACAAUGAUGGAUACAUCACAGAGCAAGAGCUAAAAGAUUCACUUAACAAUAUUGGGAUGGGCAUGACUGAGAGUGAUAUUGCAGAUAUGGUUAGAAAGGUUGAUUCGAAUGGGGAUGGAUUGAUUGAUCUCGAAGAGUUCUGUGAGUCUUUUGAUUCGUUGAUCGGUAGAGGAGAAAUGAACGAGGAAGAGCAGGAGAGAGACGCCAAUGAUGAUGAGGAUGAGGAGGUGAGUAGGGAGGAUGAUUUGAAGGAGGCUUUUGCUGUUUUUGAUGGAAAUAAAGAUGGGUUGAUAACGGUGGAAGAACUGGGGCUGGUCUUGUCCUCCUUGGGGUUUAAAGAGGGGAAGAAGUUGGAAGAUUGUAUAGAGAUGAUUAGAAAAGUAGACGUGGAUGGAGAUGGCAUGGUUAAUUUUGACGAGUUCAAGAGGAUGAUGAAAGCUGGUCAUCGGCUUCUUCCAGCUUCCUGAAGAAUGAGUCUUUGCUUCUGUUCUUUCUCCUAAAUCCAUCAAGGUUAGGAAAGAAUUUUAACUUUGUUCAAAAUCACUCAACUGCAAUACCCCUCCUUUUCUUCUCAAGACUGUACAGGUAAUUGAACGUAUAUCAUCCUCCUUACGGUUAGGUUUUAGCACUAGCACUUAGGCUUCUAGCAAUACCUACUGCCGAGUUUGCUGUUUGAAACAUAGGUGAAGAAUCAAGUUUAGCAAACACAUGGCAGUUGGAUGGAUCACCAUUGAAGUCUCUGCUUCUCCUCUCUAUCCAGAUUCGAAAGUUUUUCCUUUCUGCUGAAACACUGUCUGUCUGUCUAAGUCAUGGUUUUAAUUAACAUCUGAUAUCUGUAAAUUCUUUGUUUCUUUGGCUGAUGUUGGCGGUUUACUACCAUUACAAAUAAGCUAAAAUCGUGAGUACAAACAACAAAGAUGUCGGUUUUUCCAGAACUCCGUAGACCAAAACUAUCUGAAUUAAUCCACAACGAGCGUCGGUUAUAGCAUAAAUGGUCAAAUCUUACCGUUUACAACCUACUCCAAUUACGUGUCAAACGAUUUCUCCCACCUCCGCCUCUGAAUUAUAAUAGCAUGCCACCCCCAUAUCCACAUCUGUUCUCUCGAACUUGAACUGCAUCAAGUUGGAAGUUAACCAAGAACGCUUCAAUAUUUGGCUCCAAAUUAUUUGAUUCUAUCAUAAAUAUACAAUUUUCAACCUACUUUUUUAUUCUUUCAAUCACUAUUUUAUCUCACGUACAUUAUUACAUUAUGAAAAGUAUUACAGUAAUUAUUUCAAAUAAUCUCCUAUCCAAACACACAGUCUGUUAUCUGGUUUAAUUUAACGCAACCGUCAUUCUUGCUGACUUGUUGCAGCGCCGGCGCCUGGGGGGCUCUAUUUGUAUUUCUACGGUCGGAGUUGUAGCAUGCUCGCGCUGAUGGCCUGAAGAACUGAGGAGCUGGGUGAGGAUUGGGAGCCAGGAUGGGCUUUUAGCAGUGCACUGCUUUCUCCGCUGCUCUUUCCUAUCAGCUACUUAGGAAGUAACUAGGACGCAAAGCAUCUUUAGUUCCAACAACAGAUAUUGGAGAUAGAAUAUGUUCUCAUCGAGAACCACCCCGAAUCCAUAUUGUUCAAAAAGUGGUUGAAUUCAUACGCUGUUCAGGAAUAAAAUCAGUUACCAUGAGAAGAAGCCAAGAAUCUAACAACCAAUGGUGGAAUUGCAAGGCUGUUAGCCAGUACAACUGACCCCCGUGCGAUCCUCAACAGGAUUCCAGUUCCAACAACCAAUGAACUCAAGCAACGGUCCCAAAAAAAAAAAAAAAGAAGAAAAAUAAAUAAAUAUGAUUGAAAUUCAGAAAAGCAGUAGAAGAAAUAGAGAGUGAAGGAGCCAAGCGCACGUGCAUCAAAUGUUUCCGAGAACAAAUAGCAGUUCUCACCAGCUCUCGUCGAAUGAGCAGAUUAUCGGAUCACAUAUUUAGCCUCGGUUUGUUCGAAGAAACUACCAGACGCACACGGACAUACCAGCAUGACACAAAUUCAGAUUGUGAGAGAUUAAAAAGACGGCCCUUGCAGGAAAAUGAAAAUAAUGUCGAGAUCUUAUUAAAACAAUCUCAGGAAAACGAUCUACAACUUCCACAAAGGGAGUACAUCUCCUUCCUCUGCUUUUUCUCACAACAUAAUCAAAUAAAUGUGACAAAGAUCUUUAAAAGACAUCAGGGUUAAAGCGUCCUGGAAUUGAGUUAUUUUGCUGAGCCUGCUUGAGGUGCAUUGAA